GGGUGCCGCGGGAGGCCGAUUGCAAGUGUCGACAAGCAAUCGAAAUGCGAAAUGAGGUGGGUUGUGCUUACCGAAGCGACUAGAUCGCCUGUAUGUCUAAGUAAAGAGAUUUCAUAUUGAUGCAUGUUGACAUAUAAUAUAAAAUGCUAGAGGAAUGUAUAUUGACAUAAUGUAAGAAUGUGAAAAGAAUGCAUGUUAACAUAUUAUAGAAAUGCUAGAUAAACUCAUAUGAUUAAUGCUUUGAAUGCACAAGAUAAAGGGCAUAUGAAUGUUAACAUUAUAAGAAUAUGCUAAAAGGAAUGCAUAAUGAUAUGUUGUAGAACAUGCUAGAUGGAUGCAUGUAGUGAAUGCUAAAAGGAAUGCAUGCUAAUAAUGUAAUAUAAAAAUGCAAGAAUGCAUGAUAAUGUGAUGUAAAGAAUACUAGUUUUCAUAAGCAUGUCAUAUAUAUAUAUGUUAGAUAAUUACAUGAAGGCAUGGUUAGCAUUAUGAGGACUAUGAAAUACUCGAAUUGGACAACUAGGAUGUCAACUAGAUCGAGUGGCAUUGAGCCUAGUGUUAAUAAACAUAGGUUGGAUAAGAAUGACAUUGAACCUAGUGUUAGUAAACAUAGGUUGGAAUCAUAUGUGGCAUUAAACCUAGUGUUAAAGAACAUAGGUUCGACAUGAACCUAGUGUUAAAGAACAAUGUAAAUUGGUAAAGAACCAUGUGGGAAAUGAACGAAAGGUAUGGAUGUAAAUAAACCCUAUGUGCAUAUGAAUGCGAGAGAGUACUUGGACAAUAGUAAACAAUGGUGACAUCGACUAUAGAGAUUCGAUUGGCAUUGAAAAGAGAGUAGUUAAACAAGAUUUAACCCAAAGUGACUUUGAGGCAUUGAGAUAUGAGACAGAUUGGCUAUACCUCCUCAAAUUGAGGAUGGGAUCGUACUCACAUGUAUCGGUUCUAGCUUGUGCGAGGUCGCUCCUCUACAGGCGGUGUACUCCGGAGUAUAGACACCACGGGUGAGAAUGCCCGGCGAAGAUCCCUCGGAUGACAGUGCCUUGUGCCUUCCUCGGUAGACGGGAUGGAUCCCUCGGGGCAUUUCCUAAUGCUAAUCCUGGUAGAUGGGACAUGUGAGAUGUGAGCUUGGGGCGAACUUGAUGAACCCCGGAAAGAUUGGGUAAAGGCCAAAGUGAAUGUGUGAAAGUAUGCAUUAUGAGCUAGUGAAUUGAUAUCCCAGUUGAGUGGAUUUAUGGCUGAGGUGCAUGUGGGACGUCCUUCACCUCGAGCCUGGAUGUAUGCGGUAUUCCGCAGAUGAUUGACUCGAGACCGAGUCGGCUGGUUAGCUUGGCUAGGGUAGAGGAAAACCUUAGGAGCAAAUAGCCAAUGAUGUAAAGUGACAAGAUGUAUAAAUUAUGGAAAAGCUAUGGAUAGAAAGUAAAAUCAUUUACUUUACUUGUAUAGUUGCAUGGAUUUCAUAUUGCAUAUCGUGAGGCAAGGCAUGGUUUUAUUAGUUGCAUAAUAAAGAUAUAUAUCUAUCUGUUUAUUGAAAUAACUUGCAGUUGCCUCCCUUGGACCUAUUGGUCGAGCUCUUCCCUUGGGUGGCCGUACCCACUGGGAACCAUGGAGUUGGUUCUCACCCCACGUUGUUUUGGGGUGCUACAGGUUCACACGUGAGCAGCGCGGUGGCGCGAGGCAAGGGCGUAGUUCCAUAGUUAGCGCCCUACCACCGAGACAAGAGAUAGUGGUACCUUGAGUCGGCCUUACUUAGGGAUGCAAGAAAAUGAAAAGAAUCAAGUUGUAAUAAUAUUGUUAAAGCUAGAUUGUAUUUGGAAGCUAAAAAGAAUGUAUUAUGUAAUUGUAAUGUAAAAUGUAUCUAAAUAAUGUGAAUGCUUGUAAUAGCAAGUAGAUUAUGUUUUUGAUACUUCCUUAUACAAUCUUUGAUUGAAAUAUGUUCCUGGUUGGAACUUCGUACAUUGUAUUGAUUGCGACGCUUUGAAUGUAUAGGGGAGACUCUGUCCGCGGUACAGGAAAAAUCCUUUCCGUUCGGCGGUCUGUCGGGGUGCCCGAAACCGACCAAAUAUCCGGGGCUCGGGGCGUGACAGAUAAGAUGGUAUCAGAGCAUAAAAAGAACACAAAAAGAAAAAAUUAAUAGAAAAUGGUUUAGUUGGACCUAGGAGACCCUAGGAUAGCAAACCAUAGGAGAUUAAGGCUCGUGAGAGACGAGGACUUGUGACUUUUGGCGAAAGGUUAAUUGAUUGGAUUGUGUCAUAAACCUCUAAAACGGAUGUUAGGGGCUGUUUGGUUGUACGCAUUUGCAACUGCAGUGCAGUUGCAAAUGCGUGCAGCCACAAUUCCUUUGUUUGGUUUAGUAUAGUUGAGUUCAACUGCUGCAGUCCCAACUGCACAAGAAGGCCCAAAUGCUGCAGUUGGAACUACAUCCAAAUUGGUCGUAGUUCCAACUGCAGCAGUUGGUGAGGGAUAGGAUCACCCACAAAUUAAUAAUAAUAAAUAAAUAAAUAAAUAGCUAAAUAAAUAAAUAAUAUAUGUAUAUAGGUAAAUAAAAAUACUUAUAAAUAAACUCAUACUAAUAAAAUUUUUUAGACAAUACAAGCUUUGUGCAAAAAAUUAAUUUUUUUAAAUUUAUUUUAUUUAAAAUAUAAAUAUAGUUUUUUUUUCUAAAUUUUUAUAGAAUGUGAUCGUGUAUGUUAAUUUAAUAAGUUUUAAUUAAUUAUAAUUAUUAAAUUUGAUAAAAAAAAUGAGAGAAUCGUUUAAAUUUUUAAAGUUUGAUUUACAUAUUAAAAUUAAAUAAAUUAAAAAUUUUAAAUGUGUCGAUUAAUAAGUUGAAGAAUUAUUGAAAAAUAUAAAAAUAUUAUAUAUAUCUACUUAUUUAUUUAUAAAUAGUAAAUUUAAAUAAUUAAUAAAUUUAUACAAUUAUUUUAUGUUUAGUGAAGGUAACCUCACCACUUUAUCUGAAGAGGUGACAAAAUUCAUAAAUACAACUAUCAGCUUCAUAUUACCAAACAGAAGAAAUGUAACUGCAGCAGUUGUAACUGCGUAAAACCAAACAGACUAGGUGUAGUUAUAACUGCAGCAUUUGCUACUGCAUGUAUUUCCAACUACACUGUUUCUGCAACUACAUCCAACCAAACGGCCCCUUAGAGGUAGAUUCAAGGUGUGGUUUAUUCUCAACCGAGGGUGUUCAUGUUGGAUGCAUACAAUAUGAAACCGCGUAAUGAGAAUAAACGACCUUGCGUGACUUUCGCCCGAUUUGAGUCGGUAUUAAGUGUUUCGUGUUCGACCUAGAAGGUCGAGGAUUUAUAAAGUUGUCGCGUUUUAGGAAGCGAUAGCACUGUGUAGGCGAUCUUCAUUUAGAUCAGCGUGGGACGGGCCAAGUGGUGUCCCUGGGCAAUUUGAGGCGAGCGGAGACUUGGAACUUCGCGAGUUUUGGCAACUCUCAUGACCUUUGAGAAAUUAACGGAAUCCUCGUCGUGUUAGAUCACUUUUGGGUCAAAUUGACCAAAGUGCAUCGAGAGAAGUAGUUGGACAAAGUCCAAUUGACAUUCCAACAUUGGAAGGGUUAGAAUUAAGUUCUAAAAGAGUUAGAAUAGUUUUAGCAUUGCUCAAAAUUCUGGAAUAUGUGUUACCGGUUUAACACCAGGGGUGUACUGGUACAGUAUGGUUGUGACGAAGUGAAUUCUUGAAAGCCGAGAGUUAGACUUCGUCCAGAAUCGACUGAUGGUCGAGUGGGUAUGCUUUGGAAAAGCCGCAGUUGUCGAAAGCCCAAAAAGUAUAUUGGGAAUGAGUCCGCGAGAGCAAAUGGUGCAAAAUCUGCGCUUGGCAGAUUUGCUCUCGGGGACCGGUCCUUGGCAUGGAGAGACCGGUCCCCCUCAGCUGGUGGUUGCUGUGUCGCGCGAGGCAACCGGUCCCUGGGCUAGGGAGACCGGUUCCCGAACGCGUGAUAUUAGGAAGGUCCUGUGGGACCGGUCCCCGGCAGGGAGAGACCGGUCCCUUAGCACAAAAAUUGCCUAGUCAGGGCAGUGUAAAAGAGUAAAAGUUGAGGGGCUUGUUUGCACUUAUGCAACAUGUGGGGCUAUAUGAGGGGUAUGAGAGCUCUUUUCUCUCAUUUCUCACCCACACACCCUCUCAUAUCUCUCUUUCUCUUUCUGGAAGACAAGAAGAGGAAGAAGAAAGGAAAGGAAAGAAAGAGAAGGAGAAGGAGGUCUUCCUCAUCUUCUUCAUCUUCUCCUUGGUUGGAGCUUCUCGGAGAGGUAAGCUUCUAAGCACUUUCUUGAUGGAUUUCUAGAGAUAGGUUUGAUUGCUCUAGAAAUAAAGUUUUGUAUUAUCUAAGGGCGUAGUACCUGCCAGUACAGGUAUAGAGCCAGAUGGCACUAGCGAAGUGCUAGAAGUAAUCUAUGGCGAGAAGUGAGACUCGCGGUAGAGAUAGAAGUGGCGGAAUGACCCUCAGAGCAAUAUGAGUUGUAAAUUGCGAGAGUUGAGUCAUGAUGCUUAUGAGAAUACCCGAGUGGUCCGAAAAUUUCGAAUGUCAUUCCGGUAGAUUGAACAGUGAAGGUAGCAUCACUGUUGAGAGAACGAUCGAUUAGUGGCCAAGUUUGAGCACGUGGGCCUAGUAGUACCUCAAGGUGAGGUAGGCGGUUGUGCUUGUGCGGCCGGUGUGCAUAGGCAAGAUUGCCUAAUGUUGGACUUCGUGUGGAACGCUGUAGAGGCAUAGAGCGCUCGAGUGUAGAGACCCGUAGAGUGCGGAUGUGGAUUCAGCCGAGUGAGUGAGUUGGCAGUAGCACUUGAGUAUCGCUAGGUGUGAAGCGUGCCAUGGAUCACUCGUGGAACUGGUGACUCGCACUAGGUGUAUAGGAGUCGAUAUUGGUACGUGUGACUCGGUAGAGUAUGUCGUGUAGGACGACGACGGUGGGUAGUGCUUGGGGACGACCCGUGCCUGGACUAUUUGUGGACUGUGGAGCUUGGGCCCUUUGGACAGGCGCAAUCAGCUGUGAGUGACAGCGGCCCGGUACCUACGGGUAGGGCAGAGUUCUGGUCAGGACGGUAGUCCGAGCUUAGACCCGAGAGCGUGGAAUGCCACAUGAUGGAUUGUGUGACCGAUGGUACACCGAGUAUGGUUGUGACCCAACCUGAGGACUUGAUGUGGUUUGGGAUCUUAGUUGCUCCUGGUUGGAAUGUGUGCGAAUUCCCAAGUGAGAAUUUUGCCCGAUGAUGAUUGGGUCUGCAUUUGCGAGCGAGAGACGCUGCGUGUUUAGACAGGUUUAGGCGGUAGGCCUACGUAGGAUCGGUGGCCUUUGGUCCACCUGUGGAGACCGAAGAGAACGAUUUGGCAGAUAGCCUUAUCGAGGGGUUUGACUCGAAUUCACGAACGAAGCGCUCGUGUGAGCUCGUUGCGGAAAUAGUUUGAUGUUAAUCGUGGCAUGUGGUAUUAGAUGAUGAAGUACUCCUUGUGAGACAUCGAACUAGUGGAAAGCCACGUGAUGUUGGAGACUAUGCUUGUAAGCGAACUGAGACUUGAGAUGUGCCGAAGUAGGCCAUCUCGCUUUAAAGUUAAGGGUCAGUGCGAAAUUAGAGCAGUCGCGACGGAGCGAUGCACCGGUGAUAUUGCUUCUAAGCAAUGUCGGUGAUCGAAUUGGAAUGUAUUCCCAUAAGUGAAGGCCAGUGCAAAGAAGAGUUCUUUGUGUACCGAAUGGCGAGUGGUGUUGGAGCGCGUAGAGUCGUCGUGUAUCGACUUGCGCUGCCUUUAUGACUUGCAAGACCUGUGAUGCACUUUUGUAUCACAUUUUGCAAAUGUGUUUAGGAUUAAAUCCACGUCCUUCAGUAUGAGCCACUUCUGGAACCACGAUGGUGUGAAGCCGCUCUGGAGUGGAAGAAUGAGUCGGUACCCUCAAUUGCUCGCGGAGCUGAAUUGAGACGUGGUUUGAAUUUCGCGGACGAAAUUCUUUUAAGGGGUGGAGAAUGUAACAUACCAGAUUUUGGUAUAAAAAUAAAAAUAAAUAAAAAUAGUAUGGGAAACUAUUUUUAUUGGAUUUAUAGAAGUAAAAUAUAAGUCAGAAGUGACUUGUGCUGAAAUCGGAAUGAAAAUAAAAGAUUUAGAAUUUUCUGUUGGAAACGGGACAGAUAAGUUAGCAGAAAAUGCAGUCUCAGAAAAUUAUGAAAAUUGGAGGAUAAGUUAGAAAUAUUUUUAUGAGGCUAGAUUUAAAGUUUCAUAUUUUUCUGACACCCGUAGAGUGAGAAAUAAAAUCCAAGAGUUAUCUGAUAAAGAUUACAGUUCGGCAUAGUUUUCGGUGACCAAAUGGGGUUGAAACUGAAAACUUAAGAUAUAUUCUUACUCAGUACAUUAAACUGAGCCUGCCUGUCAAAUUUGAGCUCAAAUGGAUAUACAUAAGGAUUCCAACUGUUCCGAACUGCUAAACUGCCCUGGAGUGAAUAGUGUUUUGGGUGUUAAAGUAUAUAAGAAGCAAUGUGCUUCUUCUUCCUCCUUCAGUCGUGCACACCCACACACACACCGCACGCACGCAUGGAGAGAGGAGAGAAACUCUCCUUUCUCUCUCUAAAGACCUCUCUCAUCUCUCUAUAUCUCUUGCUCAAAUUCGCGGCGUUGGCGGAGAAGAUGCUCGCGAACGCGUUGGGAGCGACGGAUCGAGCUUUCAUGCGCCCGUUGGAGCGGCGUGUUUUCGUCGCGGCGUUCACAAUGUGGUAAGCUUUUGGGAUUUGGCUUAAUCCUUAGCUUUAAGUGUUCUAAUAGCCUCUAAUGAGCAUUGUUAGUAUGUUGCUCUAUUUAAUUUGAAUUAUUUGGAAGUUAAUUACAUCUAGGGCUUAAAAAUACUAGUUUUGUAAAUAUAAGGGUUUGAUCUCAUUUGACCCUCCAUAAACCUAAUUGCUAGGUAAAUGAACGCGUUGGCGAAGUCGGUUCGGCGAUUCGUCGAGCCGUUGUAAAGUUAUUAAAGAAACGGACGUUUAGGCUUCGUUUCCGCCUAGAGGGCCGAGGCGACAUCUUAAACCCAUGAAAACGGAUUUGAAGCAUCGUGGCACAUAACCGAAGGCCUUUAAUUUCCGGAUCAUGGAUUGGAGGCCGUUCGGGUGGUCGCGCGAGAGAUCGGGCCAAACCGGGUGCCGGGUGCCGCAGGAGGCCAAUUGCAAGUGUCGACAAGCAAUCGGAAUGCGAAAUCGGGGAUCUCGAUCUGAAACUAUCGAAGUAGGUUGUGACGCACUGGACCUGUGCAAAUUGCGAGGUUCGAGUGUUUGGACUGUGUCCCGAGUUUUCCCAGACUUUCUGGUGGGUCAUUGACAGUGUUCCGACCUAUGGCUCGCAUCCCGAGAAUUGUAGUAUUUUACGUAGCGCUAAGGUCACUAAAGAGUUGGACAUAGGCUACCCUCGGAUUUCACUCUGCACAAGGUGUACCGGUACAUCCUUGAUGGCUGUACCGGUACAUACUUUGUACCGGUACACUUUUGAUGGUUGUACCGGUACACUUGUGGCAGAUUGCGAACCCGAGCCUCGGGUUUGCAUUUUCGUAGGAUGUGUACCGGUACACUUUCCCGUGUACCGGUACACUUUGGCAGAAUCUGAGCAGUUUGAACUGCAGGGGGUUUUUCGCGAUUGUGGCACCCUUAUAACAGCACCCACGCCCCAUAGGGCCUCUCUUGUGCUGGAACCUGAGGAGGAGCAAGGUAGGGAGACCCUCUUUUCCCCUAUUUGGAUUUGAUCUCUAAUUUCUUGGAUUUUGAUGGAUUUCCCUCUCUCUUUCCCUAUUGAAGCUAUUUCCACCAUUGUUGGAGCUUGGAGCUUGGAGCUUGGAUUUGGAGUUUGAUUGAGGGAAGAUACUUGAAGUUUGAGGACUUUGAGAUGGUUUUGAGGCUUUUAAGAGGUAAGUGGCAAGAUCCUUUCUUCUAGUUUUGGAUUUUAGAGCUUUCUUUGAGAUGAAACCCUAGUUUUGGGACUUAGGGUUUAUUUUGGGCUUUUUGAACCUAGGGCUUUUGAGGCUUAAUUAGUUGGUUUAGAACCUUCCUAGGGCUUGGAUUGGAAGGCUUCUAGCUCUCUUUUGGAGCUUAGGAGAAGAUUUCUACUCUUGAGGUAAGUUUUGGCCCUUUUGCUUCUAGGUUAAUGUUUGAUAAUAUAAGAUGGUCGUAAUGCCCUCGUAUCUCAUCGCUGAUCACUUUUAGGGUAUUUUGAGACUCGGGGACAACUUUGUUCGGCGAAUCGAGACCCUAAGCGACGGUUCGGUGGGUUUGACCUAACCUACAUAUGAGAAAUUCUCGUAUAUGGUUACAUAUGUUUCGUAAAUUAAAAAAGCAUGCAUGUUCAUACUAAAUGUAUUUAUUAUGAUUUUUAGAAUGCUUAAAAUGCAUAUGUUAUAUAUAGUAAAAUUUUGGACCUCUAUGUAGUAGAGAGUUGCUUCGGAGAUCUUUGGUUGCAUUUAGCAUUCUUUAUGAGACUUGGUUUCAUGUUCUAUAGUAUAUAAAUGAGUUCGGAUUCAUGCAUUUAAACUUGAGUUUACUUGUGACAUGAAAGAUGAUAAGAUUGCCAUUUAGAAGGUAUGCGAACUAGAGAGCUAAUGUCAUCAAGCGGCAUUGAGCUCGGGACAUGUAAAAACCUAGCGGAUAGGGCCAUUGAGGGAUUUGGAAUACAUGUUGAACAUCAAAUUGCCUAAGUGUCAUCAAGGGGCACUAGGCGUAGCAAAUGUUGAAACUUCACAUUGUGACUUAAACUAGAUCUUCGGGAUGCUAGUGACCAUACCAUGUUAGAGACAUGAGGAUUGGAUAUCUGAGACUUGGACUAUGCUUGCUUGCCAUUUGUGCUCAUUCGCACAUGCUUAUGAGGGUCGCUCCCUACAAGCCGGCACUCCGGAGUUAGCCUACGCGACUUUUGUUCGCUCGUGCGGUAUCGAGAAGCCUACGGGGUCGAGUGGGACAGACACAUUCUAUGUGUAGGAAUGUCGGGCUACCACAGGCACUUAGGCGGCACAAGCUGGACUACCUUGGGUAGGUCCCUGAUUGGAAAUGGAAAUCGACACGGUUUGAGAACGAACAAUCACUACUAGGUAGGUUUAGUAGUUGGAUUACAUGUACAUGCUUAUAGCAUAGGGUUGAGACAUGUAGUAUACUUGACAGUUACCUAUUUCAUCACAGUAUACUUGGUUGCCAUGAUAGAACUUAUACAUCACGUAUGAAUAAAGGUUUGUAACAGUAAACUAUUGCCAUUGGUCACUUUUCCUUAUGAUAGAAUAGAUGUACAACACUUUGACAUCGUGCUUAUGUGAGAUAUAGUAGUAUAGCAUUUUACUUAUGCUUUCUCUUUCAGCAGUUUAUUUACAUGCUCCUUUUUAUUGCUUAUUGCUAUUAACGUUACUUACCCUUAUCUUUGGGGCCUAGUGGAGCAGGAGCCGAGGUCAGUAAUUGCCCACUGGGAACUAUAAAUUAUAGUUCUCACGCCCUCUUUUUCUCGAUGUUUUUCAGAGCCUUCCACUCAGGGUGAGGCCAGGGACCGCGGGAAGGGAGUUGCUUCGAGCUAGCUUCCUUCGAGAACGAUUUGCUAGGUGGUCUACCUCUCGUUGUAUUUUAUUUUGGAGAGGUUGAGAGUUUUACCCGUGUACUAGUGACCACCAUUUUUGUAUUAGAGGCUGAUUCUGUAUAACUUAUGUUUACUUUUAUGUAUUAGUUACGUUCUAUUACUAUUGGUGUAGAUGUUAGAACUUUACUCGCUCUGAUAUCAUUAGUUGCUAGUUAUUUCACUUCUUUUGGUUGUUACAUCUCUUGCUUUACUUCCGCUUUUAUUGUAGACGCCUUAUAUGUGUAGACAUAUGGCGGGUCUGGGCACACUACCGGGAGGGCCUCCGCCGGUCCCGGGGCGUGACAUAGGUUGUCACACCCCGAGCCCGGUCCUAUUUGGCCGGUUCGAGCACGUUGAACAGACGCCGAAUGGACAGCACCUCCUCUAUCCGCCCAAGGCUCAACAACAAGUACAGAACAAGUAUAUAAAUUGCAUAGCGGAAACAUAAAUAUACUUGACUUGCACAAGGGCAAGGAAUAGCCAAAAGUGAAAGUAUUAAACUAAACCAUAUACAAGUACAAUGAUUAACUUUUAACCACAUACAUGCAUUCAACCACAAGUUACAUUUACUUUUCAUUAUUUCUUUUACAUCACAUAUUCCCCAAAAUAGGCCUUUACAUUUAACAUCUUUAAUACAUUUGCAUCAUUCAUAUAACUCUAAUCAUCAAAAUACAAAAGAUGAUAUAUAUAAAAGGGUGUGCAACUACACAAAAUAGAACCCGCUCGGGUGGUCUCUGUCUAUGGCGCGAUACCUUUACCGCGAUCGUUGGCCGGCUCACUCGGUCCCGGCUCUGUGGAAAAAGGGGGGUGAGAACUACAACAAAGUUCCCAGUGGGUUCGGCCGCCGACCUCGCCGACUUUCCUACGAGGUCUAAAUCAGGCAUAGUAGAAGAAAGAAUAGAUAGUAACCAACUAAACAAGUGCAGCUAUUAUGCCUGAACAAGAUAUAAUCAAUGAUUAUGCUCAAAUAGAAUGCUCAUGAUGAAUGCAAGGUUACUUUCUGAUUUUCGGUACUUUUGGCUAACCCGUAGGUUUCACCUCAACCAUCAAGUAUUCCAAUUCUCGGUACUUUUGGCUAACCCGUAGGUUUCGCCUCAACCAACCACUCACCAACCCAAAUCCUUAGUAUCGGGGAGAUACUCGCUACAACCCGACGAGACCAUUCUCUAGGGAGAUACUCGCUACGACGCAGUAAUGACUACUCCGGAGCUCAUCGCUUCAGGGGGAGCUACCACCCUUCGAGCCAAGACUAAUAGGUGAGUAUGAUCAAUCCUUAACUUUAAGGAUGCUAUACUCAUAUGACCCUUAACUUUAAGGUUGUUAUGUCAUACUAUCAACUAUCUCACUUUUACUUGCAUUCUUCAACUUUCAUUAGUGUCACUUUCACUACUUGUUCUUUAUACUCAUUCACAUGCAUUCCUUAAUGCCACACACACACUAAGUGUUCUUUAACUCAUUCUCAUGCAUUCUUGUCAUUUACUAAUGCCACCCAAUUCAUAUGUCAUAAUAUCAUUUUAUUCUUUACCUCAUCUAGGUCUUUGUCACCAUUCAUGCAUACAUAGGGUUUUACAUGUUUUCAAUAGCUCACAAUAUCUCAAAUGUAUUUUAUACUCAAAGCAUGCAAUCAUAUAAAUUCCACUCACCCUACUAUGCAUGAAAAGAUAAACAUGUACAUGCUAAAAAAUGACACUUUAGAUAUAAAAAAAAAUUCAUCGAUUUCGGAAUGCACCACCCACCUUGUAUGGUUGCUAGGGUGCUACGGUUCAAAUCUCAUGAUUUUUAGCCGCCUAUUCUCUCGCCUGCGGCAAAAUGAAGCCGAAUUAGGCUUUUUGCUCAUAACUUUGCGUAGACUCGUCGGAUCACCGAACCGAGUUUAUAUUCUAGUUAGAAAUACCCUCAAUUUGGUUUCUACAAGAUCAGUUUGCCUCAAAACCAACCUAGGGCAAAAGCCCCAAUUUUGGUGCCCUAACAAUGUUAUUUUGCAAUUUUUCUUGGAUUGAUCUUAGAGCUAAGCAAAAACUAGCUUAGAACCAUCUAAGAACUUCUCUAAAACCAUUUUUAGGUCAUUCAAACCAUUCCUAACAAUGUCAUUUUGCAAUUUUUCUUAGAUUGAUCUUAGAGCUAAGCAAAAACUAGCUUAGAACCAUCUAAGAACUUCUCUAAAACCAUUUUUAGGUCAUUCAAACCAUUCUUAGGGCAUCUAACAUGAACCCUAGAAAUCCACCAUGAGAGCACAUGAAGAAAAUAUAGAUUUUCAUAUGUUCAUAGCCUCUACUAGGUUUCUAGCCUUACAAGAAGAUCAAAACUCAAAGAUUUAGGAUAUAAAACCAAACCCUAGCAUCAUUCUUGUAUAAAACUCACCUUAGCCCACAAGCUCUCCAAUAUCCACCUUGUAGGAGAGACCUAAACCUUCAAAAGCUCCAAAUCUCCUCCAAAAUUGUCACGCCCGGGUACCAGCGGAAGCAUAUCCGGUACGUGCACAAACCCGCCAUACACCUGCAGUAUAUAAGGCGUCUACGAAGAAAGCAAGUCGAUAGGGAGCAAAACAAAGAAAGUCCUAUCCUGAUAUCAGAGCAAUGUACAAGUCGAUAUAUUAUCAACAAAAGAACAAAGAGUGUACAAUCCAAAAUCUCGACUAAAAAAAAACAAGUAUCACAACAGAAACAUCUGGAUCAACAGUAAAUAUACAUCACGGGGUAUACAAAAAUAGGUACAAUGGUGGUCUCUCUAUACAUAGGGACAUCACCCUCGGCCGUAGCCCGAGUAGCAAGGUGAUCGACUAGCACGCUCCUAGUAGUCCCUAGCUAGGCGCGACUCCCUUGCCACGAUCCCUAGCCUCUCCUGUAAAAGGCUCUGUAAAAACAACCACCAAAAGGGCGUGAGAACUAUUAACAAUAGUUCCCAGUGGGUAAGCCGCCAGCCUCGGCGAAUUACACCACUAGGCUCAAGAUGUACUAAAUGAAAGCAAUAACAAUAAUUGCAUGAUUUAUAAGCAUGAUGCUAAUAAGUAAUAAGCAUGUAAUCAACAUGUAAUAGCUUUCUACAGUAAUGAACCAUUUGCAUAAAAGAGAUAUAGCAACUUCUGUAAUCAUGAACAUAGACAUGAGUAUAAGCACGAACAUAAAAGUGACUACUGUACACUUUAAGUAAUAAACAUUCAUUACUGUCCUUUUUCAUUUAGUACUUUCCUUUCAUUCACAGGGACCUACCCAAGGUAGUCCAGCUUGCGCCGCGCCUAAUGGCCCCGUGGUAGUAUACACUCCCCACGGCAAUCCACUUCGGCACCCAAUCCCGCACGGGCGAGCAACUGUCGCGUAGGCCAACUCCGGAGUGCCGGCUUGUAGGGAGCUACCCUCACAAGCGUGUGCGAAUGAGCACGAUGGCAAGCAAGCAAAGUCCGUUGUCCACAUGUCUCAAUUUUCAUAUUUUCAUUUGCAAAGUUCUUACCCUCGAUCCUCUGGUCGGAAUUUCAAUAUACAAAUAGUAGUAAGAACUAGUAUCCACUAGAUUGUAAACAUGUAAGGGUAAUGCUAAAUCACAUGGCAUUAUAAUCUUUCCACUAUUAUGGCACUAUCAACAUAGUCAUAAGCAUGUCAUAGUUUUCUACUUUAGAGUCAAGAGAAUGUCAUUGUUCUCUACUUCCUAAGUGCAUCCUACACUUGUUCAUAAGUCAUUCAACUGAGUCGAAUAUGAAUAUAAAUACUUUCAUGUAUAUAUGUUCUCUACUUUUUAGAGAUUUCAUUCUACUUAAGCAUCAAACAUCACAAUGAUAUGUUUCAAAUUCUCUAUCAAUCACAUAGGCACUAAAUGCACUUAUGCGAUUAUUCUAUAGAUACAUAAAGAACAUAGAGGAGCUUCACUUGCUCUUGUUAGGUCAAACCCACCUAGUACUAAGUUCAAAUCAGUCCAAAGGAGUCCCAAGGAUAAGCUCCACUAGGUCGCAAUCCUGCUGAACACGAAGCAUACAUAUCGUAUCAAAAUUACGAUCGAAAUGUCCAAUUUCAGCGCAAUUGCACUUAGCACAUCGUAAUAGCUGAAAUCCCUGUUUUGGCUCAAUAAAUACCUCAAGUUAAGCUUCCAAAAUCCCUCACGUAUCAGCCGGAGGUAAUCCGAAGGUCCGUUGCAAGCCCGCUGUGAACUAUUUCCAAAACGGCAACAAAGUCGUCAAGUGCUAACAAUAUAGUCGGAAUCAUGCGAAUUCAGUUUCCUAACUGAAAUUCCUACUUACCUCAGGUUAGAACACUUCUAGAACACUUCGAGACAGUCCCCAAGGUCAUCCAAUUAGCUCAAAAUGGUUCGAAAACCUUCUGCGAAGGAAUCAUUCAAAACUGCGUCAAUAAACCGCGUAUAGUUCCGAAAUUGAGUUAUAACUCACUACUUAUCCUUCAUCAACUUUAAAGCAGCAUGUCUCUGAGUUUAGAUGGAUACUUAGUAGCCAAAAGAACCCUUCUUUACUGCUGAAAACAACUUCUAGCUCAGUUGGAAGCAACGGAACGAAAAGGCGUCCAAAAUCAAUACGAAACCGUAAACUAGAGAGAAAUCGAGUUAAAAUUACCUCUCUAAAGCUUUCAACCAGCUUCUCAGGUGGUAACCUCACAGAAAACCCAGCAAAAUUCCCUCUCCCCACGAUCCAAACACUUUCCUCGAGUCGUCCAAUCAACGAGCAACGAGCGCGGCGCGGAAACGGCGCGAAACGACGAAUUCUAUGUAGAGAGAGAAAAACCCUAGAGAGAGAGAGAAGAAGAAGGUGAAGAAACCCUUCUCUGAGCUCUAGCACACCCCAGCAAGCUCCUAGAGUUGUGCUGGGUUCAAAUAGAUAGGCUCAAGAUGUGAAAUGACCAAAUUAGCCCUGCUGCCACGAAUCUGCCAAUGCUGUACCGGUACAAGGUAAUGGCUGUACCGGUACAACAAGCAGAAAAAUGCUGAUUUUCGCAGAUCAAUGCAUUUUCUCACUUUUAGCAUUCCAAACAUCCUCUAACUUAUCCAAAAACUUGUUCUAACCUUUUAUAACAUGUAGGAUAGUUCCAUAUAUCAUUCCACACACUCGAACUCUGCUAUUUCCAAAAGUUCAGUGUCUUACAAAAAUCUACCUCUUGAGCUCCUCCUUUAGCUUGGGAGAGAGUUUCUAGACAGAGAGAGGGAGAGAAAUGAGAUGGAGAUGGGUUCUCAGCUGUGAAGAGAGAAGGGAGGGGGUGUGGGGUCAUAUAUAGGUUGCUACAAUAGCAGCUAGGCCCCCCAAAACUUCAUAUUUGCAGCAGACUAAAAUCUGCUGUGAAGCAGACUUGGUACCGGUACCAGGUAUUUUUGUCAACGGUUACACAAUUACGUAGAGGCUAACCCGAGAGCUGCUUCUCUCGGCUAGCAGUCUGGUAACGGUACCAAUUGGAUUUGUCACCGGUUUAACAACUUGACAGAGGCUAACCCGAGAGCAAUUCUGCUCUCGAUUUCUGUAGCGUACUGAUGACACCCCUGGGCUGUCACCGGUUCAACAAUGCUCCUUACUUGAUUAUUGCAUUGAUUCGACGACGUUUCGCGCCGAGCAAUGCUAAAACCUUUCUAACUCUUUUGGAAUUUAACUUUAACCCUUCCAACAUUGUUGGAAUGUUAAAUGGACCUUGUCCAACUAUUUCUUUCGCACACUUUAAUCAAUUUGACUAAAGUUCGAUAUUCUCUAUCGAGUUUCGGUAUAUUACAUGGGUAUCCCGUGAAGUCGCACAAUCUCAGCCAAGUAUACCUGUGCGAGUAUCUCACCUGACCAAGUCGUGUGAAUAGGUAUGAAAUGAGCCGAUUUCGUCAACCUAUCCACGAUCACCCAAAUCGCAUCAUGCUCAGCUUGAGAGCGGGGCAAUCCCAUAACAAAGUCCAUGGUGAUCCUUUUCCACUUCAAAACAAGAAUCGGUAAACUCUGAAAUUUUUCCGCCGGUAGUCGGUGCUCAACUUUCACUUGUUGACAAGUUUAACAUCGAGCUACAAACUCGCCAACAUCCUUUUUCAUUCCGGGCCACAAAUAAAGUAACUUCAAGUCCUUGUACAUCUUGGUGCUUUCCGGGUGUAGAGCAUAAGGUGCACGGUGAGCUUCUUGAAGAAUAACCUCUUUAAUUGCCGAUUCCGUCAGUACACAAAUCUGCCCGCGGAAACACAACAACCCUUAAUUAUCCGCAAGGAAAUCACCAGUGUAAUCAUCAACCAUUUUAGCUCGAAUCAUUUGCAACUCCACAUCGUGAACUUGCUUUUCUUUAAUAAUUUCCAAUAAUGUUGGUUGCACCACCAAAGCCAUCAAUCUCAAGGGUGUAUUAGGAGCCACCAGCUCUAACUCCAACUACUUUAUUUGCUCAAUCAACGGCGGUUGAGUGACUACAAUCAUCGCUAAGUUAUCCGUCGAUUUCCAACUUAGCACAUCCGCUACCACGUUAGCCUUGCCCGGGUGGUAGAGAAUCAUAAGAUCGUAAUCCUUGAGCAGCUCCAACUGUCACGCCCCACCCCGAAACCACUACCAAUUUGGCACGAUUCGGGCGCGGCGGGCGGACCGCCGAACGGACAGCACCUCCCCUGUCCGCCGAAGACUCAACAACAGGAAUGUAUACAAGAAUUUAUCCAGGAAUUUUAAAUUCUAAACAUACACAUUCAACGAGGGCACAAACAGUGCCAACAACAAGAAGAGCAAGUAAUCCACAAGAUAUACGAGUGAAAUAAAGAGAGUACUUUACUAACUAUUACAAUAGUUGCAUUCUUUUACAUUUACAUCAUUUCCCAAAAUGAAUACAUGCGAUCCUCAAAAUACAUAGCUCUCCAACCUCACCUACAUGAAUCUCUCUCAAUACAUAGGUGUGCUAAUGCAAAAGGAAAGCUACUAUACUACCACGGUCUCACUGAUCGUGCGCGAUGCCCUUGCCGCUGUCCUCGCUAGGUAGACCUGUACCUAUCAUUGGAAAUAGAGUGGGGUGAGAACUAUCUUCCAUAGUUCCUAGUGGGCUCGGCCGCCGACUCCGCCGAUCUCCCCAUUAGGUCCAAGUGGGCACAAGUAACAACAAGUAGAUAGAUAGAUAGAUAUCUGAAAGCUGUAAAGGCAUAAAGGAAAACUAUGAUACUAUGCCCAUAAUCAUGUAUAAUGAAUGCAUGCAUCAUAUAGUAAAGGUUUACUAUCAUGCUAACAAAUUUGAUCCAUGUUCGAAUGAUAAUAUUCCAUGACAUUGUUAACUGUUCAUUUACCCAAUCUGUGGCGAAGCCCUUAAGUUCGCCCUCGACUCACCUUGCCAUCCCAUUGGGUGGGGAGCUCCAUGUGCUCCUAGACGCGGGACCGUCUGUGGACCUCCAAGUGGUCCGGACCUCCAAGUGGUCCAAAUCGCUCGAUACUCCGAAGUACUCGACGACAAUACUCUCCAUGUAAGGAUAUGGAUGUCUAUACUACCCCAAAACAGACCGUGAGCAUGAUCUAUCCCCUCCAUGUGGGGACACCCUACCUCUAGGGCCAACAUCUCAAUAGACACUCUUCUAUAUCCUCUCCAUGUGAGGAUACCCUAUGAACUAGGGUCAACAUCUCUCGCGGAAUCAUCUGUUCCCGACAUUCAUGCAAUGCUAUUUAGCUUUUCUAAAUUCAUUGUUCACAAGGCAUUUUCUAAGGGAUCCACCUAUCCCUAGGUCCAUCGACCUCUAGUGUAAAAUACACUAUAUUAAUGCCACUCGAUAUGUUCUUUAACAUUUUAUGCCACUCGUUUGUUCUUUAGCAUUUAAACGCCACUUUCUAUGUCACCAAACACCCAUCGUGUUUCAUCUCUUUUCUUUAGCACUAUAGGAUUCAUGUUCCGACCCAAUCCUCACCUAUCCAAGUCACCAAGCGUUCCAUGUACACUAGGUUAUCAAUUAGAAAGCAUAAGGAAAGGUACUACAAUGCAAUCCUACAAUGCAACAUGCAAGAGAUGCAAAUCAUGUAUUUCUAAGACAUAGAAAGGAGUUCGGUUGCUUCGGGAUGACAGCCCCCACCUUUUCUCUUUGUAGAGGUCCUAGAAGCGUUCCCUGACACUUCAAACUGCGUGUUCCCGGCCUCUUUGGGAGAAACGAAGCUAGGUCGGUCCUACUUUGCCGAUAGUCCUACACCCGCUCGACGAAUCGUAAAUCUGACUCCGCCAACGCGUUGGGACACCUAGCAAUUAGGUUUACAAAGCCUCAAAUGUGAUCAAUCUCAUCUAUAUCCAAAAAUCCCAUUUUGGGUGCCCUAGGGUUAGCAUCAUGCUAUUUGCACCAUGAAACCCUAGCCUCUAGCUCUAGUCCACCAACAAUGGUGCUAGAAGUCCAUUUGACCUCAUCUCAAAGCUCAAAACCCAAAAACCCUAAGUUCUACAAGCUAGGGUUUGUAGCUUACCUCUUGAGCUACACCAAUGGAGAGGAGAGGAAGAGAGGAAGAUGCUCCAAGCCUUCUCUAGCUUGUUCUUCUCCUUCUUCUUCUUCUUCUCCUCCUUCUUCUUCUUCUCUUCCUUCUUCUCCUUCUCUUUUGUUCUUUCUUUUCUAUAGAGAGAGAGGGAGCAAGAGAGAGUGAGAGGGAGAGAGAAUGAGAGGUUGAGGGAGAGAGAGAGGGUCUACAUACCCCUCUAUUGUAACAAAAUCCAAUUUAGCCCCUCAACUUUCCAUCCAUUGCACUGCCCUAACUGGGCAUUUUGCGCCUAGAGGGACCGGUCCCUCGUCGGGGAGACCGGUCCCCGAGAGCAGUCCCCGCGGCUAGAAGGCCUCCUCGCGUUCUGGAACCGGUCUCUCCCCGGGAGACCGGUCCUCGGGAGACCAGUCUUCGCCUGAGAGACCGGUCCCCGAGAGCUUGAUUUUCAGGACUUAGCCGAUUUUGGCCUUCUCUCGCUGGCGUCACACACGGGGACCGGUCCUCUCAGCCAGGGACCGGUUGCAUCAAAGAUCCCCAGCAACCACCAGCCUCGGGGACCGGUCUCUCCCUGUCAGGGACCGGUCCCUGAGAGCAAUUUUAGCCCAGUGCAGGUUUUGCACUAUAUGCUCUCGCGGACACGUUUCUAAUGCACUUUUUGUGUUUUGGACAACUUUAGCUUUUCCGAAGGAUACUCACUCGACAAUUAGUCGAUCCUAGACGAAGUACAACUCUUGGAUUUCGAAAAUUCACUUCCUUACAUCCUCCCCUCCUUAAAAGGAGUUUCGUUCUCGAAACGAACUAAUCUUCUAACUUUAAUUUAAAUUCAUACCUUACUCCUCAAGUAGAUGAGGAUGGUGCUUUCUCAUCAGAUCCUCGAGUUCCCAGGUGGCCUCACGAUCAUCAUGAUUGCUCCACCUAACUUUUACAUAGGGAAUUUCUCGAUUCCUCAACUUUCGCACCUCUCGUGCGAUAAUCCCUAGCGGAAACUCUUCAUAGCUCAAGUCUCCUUGAAGUUCCGGUGGUUCAUAUAGCAUCGCGUGCUCGGGGGUCGUGAAUAUACUUGCGGAGAUUGGAGACAUGGAACACAUUGUGAACAUUCGCGAGCUUCGGCGGCAAAGCGAGUCGAUAGGCCACCGUGCCAACUCGCUCCAAUAUUUCAUAGGGUCCAAUGUAUCGGGGACUCAACUUUCCCCUGCACUCCAAACCGCUUCACACCCCGCAUCGGUGAAACCUUCAAGAAUACGCGGUCGCCCACCGCGAACUCUAUAUCUCGUCGGCGCCUAUCUGCAUAGCUUUGCUGUCUCGACUGCGCCGUGAGCAAUCUCUUGCGAGCAAGGCGAACUUUCUCCUCGCCUUCUCGCAACACAUCAGGGCCGAACUCAGCCCGCUCACCUACAUCGCUCCAAUGUAUAGGAGACCGACACGUCCGCCCAUAAAGAGUCUCGAACGGUGCCAUCUCUACACUAGCAUGAUAACUGUUGUUCUAGGCGAACUCGGCCAAAGGUAGGUGAUCACACCAACUUCCCUUAUAGUCGAUGACACACGCUCGCAACAUGUCCUCCAGAGUUUGAAUGGUUCUCUCUGUUUGCCCAUCGGUUUGAGGAUGAAAUGCAGUGCUAAAAUCGAGCCGUGUGCCAAGGGCUUCCUGCAGGCUUUUCCAAAAGUGUAAAGUGAACCGGGGGUCACGAUCAGACACGAUCGAAUUCGGCACCCCAUGCUGUAAUACACUGAACUCUUUCAAAUUGCGAAGUUCGAGUAUGUGGAAUGGUGUGUGGAUCACUCCUACAUGUUCUAAAAGGUUAGAACAAGUUUUUGGAUAAGUUAGAGGUUGAUUGGAAUGCUAAAAGUGAGAAAACGCAUCAAACUGGCGAAAAUCAGCCUUUUCUGCUUGCUGUACCGGUACAGACAUCACCUUGUACCGGUACAAGCUGGCAGAUUCGUGGCAGCUUGGGUAUUUUGGUCAUUUCACUUUUGACACCUAUCUAUUUGAACCCAGCACGACUCUGGGGGCUCAGUGAAGGUUGCUGGAGCUCAGGGGAUUGUUCUUCCACCUUCUUGUUAUCAAGGGUCACCCAUUCGGCGGUCGGAGCCGCUUAAUGUGGUGAUCCGAGUACUACAUGAUUAACUUUCGUUAUUGCUAUUAACGUAUUAAUUAUUCGUACUACGAUUAUUCAUUAUUCGUACAUUAGUUGUACAUUAUCGAAAGAUGGACAUUAGUUCGCUCAUUUUCUCUUACAGUGACAAGAGAUGCAAAGUAUUCACAUAAGAUGUGAACAAGUAUUCAGUAAGUUGACUUAACUUAUAUUUCUAUUUAUGCAAGUACAUAUACACAAGAGAUGAAAUAUCUCUAAAGUUCAGUUAAAUGAAGAGUUCAGGAUAUAGUUUGUGGUUUCGCGUGUUGUUGUGGUUAAGAUAUCGUGUAUAUCUUGUAUCCCCUCGAGGUGAACGAGACCAAUCCAGGCUGGGUGGAUAAUGCUUCGAGGUGUGUCAGGUUCCUCAAGGUUCCUAGUCGAGGUGAUCCAGCGUUAGGACGACUUGUGCUUCGUAUGUAUAGCAUAGUUUUAAUGCUAGCUUUUCCGGUUAAAGCCGCGUUAAUGUGAAGCAUGUAACCUUAUCGAAUUUAGGGAUAAAACCGAAUCAAGUUAUGGAGUGCAAUUCGAAGGUUUUCCAGGAGGUUCCGGUCAGCUUCUGCCAGGUUCCCAGUUUAUGGGAGAGCGACGCUUGUUAUGGCUUUGCCGUAGUUAUAACAGCUAAUAUUCGAUAUUAUCAGCUUAAGAGCGUUCUAAAUUAAGGUUCGACUUUAAGGACGAAUGGGCUUCAACCUUGUGGAAGAUUUGAGUGAGGGUUUCAGUGAUUAAGUUAAUUAUUCCAAGUUUUUGGGCGACGUUUCUUUUGUUAAAAGUUUAACAUAGUUAAGCCAGCGUAUUGGGCAUAUAUCAGGCUUUAUCGAAGGCUUUACCGAUUAAGAAGGUUAAUUCGAAGUUUCAUCGAAUAGGGACCAGAUGACUCUAAUUAAGUGUCAAUUUAUCGAGUAGAAAUUCACGAUUUUGGAGUCAAAUUUUGUCGAUCUUCGUUGUUGAGGUUUUGAUAUGUAUUAAGCAGGUUCUUUAACGGCUUUUACCUUUUGCACUCGGCGAAUGGAGCGGUUCGGAGGUUGGUCAUCGAGCGACCAGGUCUCGACGCUUCUCUGAAGGUUUCAUGAGAGAGUGUACAAGUGUUCCCGAGGCAUUGUGAGCGUUGUUCGCUGCUUGUUCGCUCCGCUGCUUUUGCUCGUUUUAGCAGCUAAAGAUACAUCUCUCUCUUUUUUGGGAUCUCUCUCUCUCUUNGCUAGUCGAUCACCUUGUUACUCGGGCUACGGCCGAGGGUGAUGUCCCUUUGUAUAGAUAGGCUACCAUUGUACCUAUUUUUGUAUACCCAGUAUUGUAUAUCUCCUGUUUGGAUCUGAUGUUUUAGUUGUGAUACUCAUCUUUUGGUUGAGCUUUUGGAUUGUACACUCUUGCCCUUUUGUUGAUAGUAUAUCGACUUGUACAUUGCUCUGAUAUCAGGAUAGGACUUUCUUUGUUUUACUUCCUAUCGACUUGUUGCUUGUAGACGCCUUAUAUACUGCAGGUGUAUGGCGGGUCUGUGCACGUGCCGGAUAUGCUUCCGCUGGUACCCGGGCGUGACACAUGCAGUCUCACUAUCUCAUCGAGGUAUACCUGCGCUAACUUGUCACCCGACCACGUGGUGUGGAUCGGUAAGAAUUGAGCCGACUUCGUCAGUCGGUCCACAAUUACCCAAAUUGCAUCGUGGCCGCCCGUUGAGCGAGGCAAGCCGACCACGAAGUCCAUUGAUAUAUCCUCCCAUUUCCAAACGGGGAUUGGUAGGCUUUGAAGCUUUCCCGCUAGAAAUCGACGCUCGGCCUUCACCUGUUGGCAUGUUAAGUACUUCGCCACAAAGCGUCCAAUAUCACCCUUCAUUCCCGGCCACCAAUAGUGCAUUUUUAGUCCCUGAUACAUCUUGGUGCCGCCCGGGUGAUCGGCAUAUGGAGAUCGAUGUGCUUCUUGUAGAAUUAGCUCGCGAAGCUCUCCAUUCUUCGGCACACACCAUCGGUUUCAAAACCGAAGUGCACCAUCGGCGUUUAUACUGAAAUCGCCACCUCGACCGUUCUCGAUGUUUCGCCGCACCUUUUGGAGUUCUGGGUCCGCAGGUUGUAGAUCUUUAAUCCUCUCUAAUAAGGUCGGUUGGACAACGAGCGCCAUCAACUGGGCCGGAAUCUCGGGAGCAACCACCUCAAGGUUCAUCCGCUCCAUGUCUAACCACAAGGGUGAUUGAUUUGUAACCCACAUCGAGAGGUUCUCCGCCGACUUUCUGCUCAAUGCAUUAGCGACAACAUUAGCUUUCCCGGGGUGGUAAAGGGUAUCAACAUCAUAGUCCUUUAACAAUUCUAACCACCGCCGUUGUUACAUAUUGAGUUCUUUCUGUGUGAACAGAUACUUCAAAUUCUUAUGGUCGGUAUAGAUUUCACAAUGGGCACCGUACAAGUAGUGCCGCCACAGCUUCAAGGCGAAGAUUACCGCCGCUAACUCCAAAUCAUGGAUGGGGUAGUUCUUCUCAUAGCUCUUCAGCUGACGGGACGCAUAAGCGAUUACCUUCCCGUUUUGCAUCAAAACACACCCCAAUCCUAGAUAGGAAGCAUUGCUGUAGACUAUGAAGUCUUCGCCCUGCACCGGUAGAGCAAGCACCGGAGUCAAAGUUAAUCUUUGCUUCAACUCUUUGAAACUCCGGUCGCACUCUUCGCUCCACAAGAACUUGGUGCCUUUCUGGGUCAAGCGGGUAAGUGGAAUCACUAUCUUGGAAAAGCCUUCCACGAACCGCCUAUAAUAGCCCGCCAAGCCUACGAAGCUGCGAACCUCCGUGACAUUCGUCGGGCGUGGCCAAUGCUCGAUUGCCUCAACUUUCCUCGGGUCUACAGAAACUCCACCCGCGAAAAUCACGUGCCCUAGAAAUGCCACUUCUCGGAGCCAGAAGUCACACUUCUUCAACUUAGCAUACAGCUUCUCCUCCCGAAGGGUUUGAAGCACAAUCGUCAAAUGCUCGGCAUGUUCUUCGUCACUACGAGAAUAGACCAAUAUGUCGUCUAUGAAGACCACGACAAAUCGAUCCAAAAACUUCCUGAAAACACGGUUCAUUAAGUCCAUAAAUGCCGCUGGAGCAUUCGUGAGUCCAAAUGGCAUGACCGUGAAUUCGUAGUGCCCGUACCGCAUACGAAACGCGGUUUUCUGCACAUUCUCCGGCUUGAUUUUCAACUGGUGAUAGCCGGACUGCAAAUCUAUUUUCGAGUACACACAUGACCCCUGCAAUUGAUCGAACAGGUCAUCGAUUCGGCGUAGUGGGUACUUGUUCCUGAUCGUGACUCUGUUCAACUCUCGAUAAUCCACGCAGAGUCGAAACGAUCCGUCCUUCUUCCGUACAAACAAUACCGGGGCUCCCUACAGUGAUACACUUGGCCGGAUAAACUACUUGUCAAGAAGAUCUUGCAAUUGACUCCUCAACUCUUUCAGUUCCGCUGGCGCCAUUCGGUACAGAGCCUUCGAGAUCGGUGCGGUACCGGGAACCAAGUCUAUGACGAAUUCGAUCUCCCGAUCCGGUGGUAUCCCCGGCAACUCCGCGGGGAAUACAUCCGGGAACUCCCGCACCACCGUUAACUUCUCCAAUGUUCCACAACAGUCGCUAAGAAUGCCGUGCAACUGCUGUUAACCAACUUCCUUGCUCUCGUCGCCGACACCGUUGCGACGAAACACGAGCUUUGGCAAGCCCGGUAUGUGAACUCCUUUUGUCCUGGCUCACGAAACGUAAUUACUCUGCUCUUGCAGUCGAUCGUUGCAUGAUAUUUCGAGAGCCAAUCCAUGCCUAGAAUAACAUCAUAGGCCUCCAGUUUCCUGAGUUCUAACAUCCAUAUAGGCAUUAUGAAGUCACCCACUUGUACUGGACACGACGCACACUCCGAGUAAGUGUUAAACGUCGACCCAGGGCCUUCAACUCGCCACUUGUCACUCGCCUCUAUGAGUAUGUCAUGCAUGCGUGCGCAUGCUCUACUAAUGAAUGAAUGCGUGGCUCCUGUAUCAAAUAAAGCCCUGGAGCGAACUCCGUUAAUUAAAACCAUACCUGCCACAAGGCGAUGCCCUUCCACCUCCGUAGGUUCCUCGGUUUGAACCUGAGCGGCAAAUACCCGUCCGCUCGGGGCCGAUCGCGUCAUCUCGGGUUUACGCGACAUCAUCGCGCGUCCCGCCGACGUCGCCGUCGGUGGAACUCCUCCAUAGCGAGCCGGAAUCACCGGCGCCAAUGCAAUCGAUGGGGCGGGUGAGGCUCCUCCUUCUAGGCAGUCCCGAAUGAAGUGCCCCGGCUGCCCACACUUGUAGCACUUGCCUCGACCUUGCUCAUACCGGGAGACUGGGUGGUCUCCGCCGUAUAUGAUGCACCGUCGCGCUCCACCGCCCUUUGGCUGAGUCCGCGGAUACUUCGGGGGCCUCUUGGAACGUGCUUGUCCCCCCGAACCGCCGCCUCCUUGGCGUUUCUUGCCCUUGUCCUUAGUCUCGGCCAAUGCCUCGCGCUUCUCCCAAACGUGGGCGACUCUGUGCUCCGCCCAAAGUGCCCGGUCGAAGACCUCUACGAAGGUUGUGAGCUUGAGUAUCUGCACGGCCUUAUAAAUCCCUGGCCGACGUCCUCGCAAGAACCAAUCGGCCCGGUCUCGGUCAUCCUUCACUACGUCCGGAACACAGUCAAUGAUGUAGGAGAACUCUUGUUCAUACUCCGCCACUAGACGGUCCCCUUGCUCCAACUUGCGGAACUUCUCCUUGAGCUUCCGCUUAAGCGUAUCGUUGAAGUAGUUGGCGAACAUCUCCCGCUUGAAUUCCUCCCACAUCAUUGGCGGAAGGUUAGAAAGCCAAUCCCUUUUUACGCGCUUCCACCAGACUUUCGCCUCCUUCUCCAAGCAGUGGGUGGCAAGGUACACUUUGUCCCUCUCCAAGGUACGCAGGUCCUCAAAGAGAGCCUCCAUCGAGUCGAUCCAAGACUCGACCAUCGCCGGCUCCACCUUUCGCCCUCAAAGGUAGGUGGAUGGAACUUGUUGAACUUAAUAUAUAAGAGCCGCCAAUGCGCGCUCUCCCUCCACAUCUUCGGCCGUCACCUCGGGUGUAGCCGAUCCCGACGCCGCUGGAGGAACAAUUGCCGGCGGGGGACGUGCCGCCACCGGAACCGCCGCUAUACCCUCACCCUCAGCUGGCUCAGGCACGCGAGUCGAGGGUGCGGGUAUAUCGCGUCCACCCGUCGCCGUUGCGGCCGCCACCGCAGCCUGCCGCUCCAAGAGCUCCUGGAGCCGCUCGAAUCGGGUCUCCUAGCGCUGCACCACAUCGGUCAGUGCGGUCACUUGCGCCUGCAACUGAUCCAUCACACUCGGUUCAUCCUGCUCGGGAACCUCAGGUGUCGGUGCCGUAGUAGAUCUGCGUGUGUAGCGUCUUGGAGACAUUAGUCCCUGAAACGCAAAUACUUGGUCAGUCAUCUUAACCAAUUAUCUCGUCGAAAUUACGACACAUGACGAAUCCACAACAAAAUCGGGCGGAAGCACACAAGUGUACUGGUUCUAGACUCUUGGCAUCAUGUCGUCAGCCGCCGACAAAACCACCUCAAAUCAAGAAUUAAUACCACUUGAAUCCGUCUCUAUUCACAACUAGAGACAUAUUACCAACUUCGACCCAAUCGAAUUAACUUCCGCCAUCGUUAUAGGUUCACGUUCCGCUCACGUACCUAUAACCUUAGGGCUCACCAACCUAGGGUCUCCUAGGUCAUCCUAGACUCUCUCUCUUUACUUGCUCUUAUUGCUCUGAUACCACAUGACUGUCACGCCCUGCCCCGAAACCACUACCAAUUUGGCACGAUUUGGGCGCGGCGGGCGGACCGCCGAACGGACAGCACCUCCCCUGUCCGCCCAAGGCUCAACAACAGGAAUGUGUACAAGAAUUUACCUAGAAAUUUCAAAUUCUAAACAUACACAUUCAACGAGGGCACAAACAGUGCCAACAACAAGAAAAGUAAGUAAUCCACAAGAUAUACGAGUGAAAUAAAGAGAGUACUUUACUAACUAUUACAAUAGUUACAUUCUUUUACAUUUACAUCAUUUCCCAAAAUGAAUACAUGCGAUCCUCAAAAUACAUAGCUCUCCAACCUCACCUACAUGAAUCUCUCUCAAUACAUAGGUGUGCUAAUGCAAAAGGAAAGCUACUAUACUACCACGGUUUCACUGAUCGGGCGCGAUGCCCUUGCUGCGGUCCUCGCUCGGUAGACCUGUACCUACCACUGGAAAUAGAGUGGAGUGAGAACUAUCUUCCAUAGUUCCCAGUGGGCUCGGCCGCCGACUCCGCCGAUCUCCCCACUAGGUCUAAGUGGGCACAAGUAACAACAAGUAGAUAGAUAGAUAGAUAUCUGAAAGCUGUAAAGGUAUAAAGGAAAACUAUGAUACUAUGCCCAUAAUCAUGUAUAAUGAAUGCAUGCAUCAUAUAGUAAAGGUUUACUAUCAUGCUAACAAAUUUGAUCCAUGUUCGAAUGAUAAUAUUCCAUGACUUUGUUAACUGUUCAUUUACCUAAUCUGUGGCGAAGCCCUUGUGUAAUAGACUGAAAAUUUGAUUAUAAGUUAAUUGUGAUUAAAGUGAUCACAAUAAUGCUAAAAAGGAAAUUAAAUGUUCCUGAACUUAAUUAGUACCUUGAGAACAGCAAGUAACAUGUUUUGGAAGUGAGAGAACAGGCUCGAAGUGAAUUGGAAGGGUUAGAAACCUCCAAUCAACAUGAUGCCAAAUUGAAAAUUAAUUGCUUCCAAGUUAAUUUGAUGAAUUGGAAAUUAAUUGGAAAUUAAUUGCUUCCAUUCUAGCCCACUCAUGUAACUACUACAAUGCCUGUACAAAGCUGAAAGAAAGUAAUAUAGGAAAACUGUAAAUAUGCAUGCAUAUUGUAAUAUACCACUGCCCAAUCAAUCUAGCUAACCAUUUGGUUAACUGCAACUCACCAACUCAAUCCCUGGCGGGCCCUAAGCUGCCUCCCGACGGGACCGUCUGCUGGACAGAUACUUUAGUCCAUGGGCAAAUACUUUAGCCCAUCACGUGACCACUCCGGAGUGCACUGCUCGGGUGGAGCGACCACCGCCGAGCUCAAAACAGACUAUGUGAGUAUGAUCUGAUCCCCCUUUAGAGGAUUCCACUGAGAGACAAUGUCACAUUUAACUCUAACUAGCACAAUUUCAUUUCUCGAUGCUACCCAAAUCUCUAUUUAGAAUGUCACCAAGUUUACUAUUGUUAUAGUCCAUGCAUUCAUAGGGUUCUAUGUCCACAUUCUAUGUUCAUAUGUUCUUGCAAUUAAUAAGAAUUCACACUUUCACUUGCACAAUGCCAAAUACCCUUAUAAUACAUAACUACAAAUAUAAAUAUGCUCAAUGAAUUAUCAUAGAUAUAAAAGGUGAUUCAAAGAUUUCGGAUAGUACCACCCACCUGUAGUGGUGUCAACAACUAAGAUCUCACGUCUCGAAACGCGUCGACAACUAGCUCUCACGACUCCAUGCAAAUAGGACUAGAACGGCCUCUACCGUAAUUAGCGCGUCGCCGACCUGUCGGAAAGUCAAUUUAGACUUUCGAGCAAAUUUAACUUUCAUUUAUAUAAGAGUAAAAGGGAUUAAACUAGAGUCAUUGUUCAUAUUUUACAAGUUAGCCUUUCCAACUCCAAGUAUCCAUGUAUAUGUAUAUACUAUCAUUCAUAUAUACAUAUCAGCUCAAUGCUGAUUUCAGCACUAAGCGGAAAUGUAUGCUGCAUUAUCAGCAUUUCACCUCUUCUUUGAGCAACUAAUACAAGCAUAGGACCAUUAGUUCUCAUGCUUAGGAUUCUAUUAGAGCAACCAAUUACCAUUCAUCUCAAUCUGUUAUUAAAUUUGCUCUUUCUCAGCCUUAACAGCCUUAACAGCCUUAACAUCAAAAUAAAUUCUCCAAUGCUGAAUUUCAGCAUUUGAACUUCACGGUUUUCUUGGCAGCUCUACUAUACAGGAAUCAGAGGAAUUUACCUUCAAUUUCAUUUAACACUAGAGUUAAUCAAAAUCCAUUUUACUCUAGUCAUUUCUACUUUGAAAUCCACCAGGUCUAACACUCAAUUAGCUAGUUCCAACUCUAACAGUCAAUAGAGUUCAAUGCUGAAAUUUACCUUUUGUCUCACUCUUUUCCAGCUUACUCAAAUCUGUAGUACUUCAUUAAGUGACACCAAAUUAAAGAGGAGCAGCAACUUACUUAAUUAAAACUUCACUCAACUCAGGACACAAGUAUCUAUUAACUGAUUUCCACUUCAUCCUGAAUCUCAGGUCUGAGAUUUCAGCAACAUUAACUUCUUUAUAAGUCAACACUUAGGUAAUUAAUUGGCCUAUAAGUAGCUACUAAUCCAAUCUUACCUCAGCUGCAGCCCUGCUUCAGUUUCAGCAGCAACAUAAAGACAUAUAGGUUAGCUCCAAUACUUCUUAUUUCAGCUCCAAAGCUGAAAUUCCAGCAGCGAAGCUCUUAGUUGAUCCAUUUUAAAGUAACCAACUUGACUAUAACCCAAUAGGGGGAAUGAACUUACUUUAGUUUGAUGCUGAUUUAGCUUGCUUGCUUCAUCAGAUGGUCCUUUCCCUCAUUUCGACAGCAACAACAACAACACUUCACUUCAACUCUUCUUCAACAACCCAAUUCAGCAACUCAUCAAUCCAGAAGCUUAAUUCUGAAUUCGAAGCUCUCUAGAAGCUUCCUUCUUAGCUCACAGUCCCUAUUAUACCAGCACACUUAUUCUCUCAGGUUCCCUCUAAUGAUAAUACAUCUAACUUUAGCUGAAAAGUAAGCUUCUUACUCAAAUUGGAUGCUUCUUUAGUUGAAUUCUUCAACUUGGUAGCCUGCGAGUACCAGAUCAGCCCCAAACUGAAAUUUCCUGCAACACAUGUCCCAAUUAUUCAUUUAGAGGCUGCCCUAAAGCACCUACUAAGUUCCCAGCUGAAAAGCAAUAUACACACCCCAAUUCCAAGCUCUCUCAGCUGAAGUCCCUGCUCGCAGCAUCAAUAAGCCCAAUCCAUCAAGCUCCCAACUCCCAAGAGUCCAUAUAAACAUCUUUUUCAAGGUAAUUAACAAGAAAUCCAUGAGUCUUAAUCAAGUUUACCUUGAUUAGUUGCUAUUCCAGGUGACUUAGCAACUCUAAUCAGCAGCAAUUUCCUGUUCGAUUCAGUUUUCUUCCUUAGCCAGCAACACUCCAAGCUGCCAGCACCAAACUCCUCAACUCUUCUUAGCUCAGAGAGAGAAGGAGAAGAAGAAAAGAUGAAAGAAGAGAAGAGAAUGGAGAGCUCUGGUCUUAGACAGGUGUAAUCCACUAGGGGUGAGAUGAUAAGCUCGAAAAAUUGCAGUUUAGCCCCUUAAAACUGAGAAAUUGCAUAGUUGGCAAUUGCUGCCUGUAACACACUGGACCAUUGCAAAUUGCGAGGUUCGAGUGUUUGGAUGUAUUUCGAGCUUUUCCACACUUGGUGGAGGGUUGUAGAAUGUUUUCCGACCUAAAAAGUUCGAAAACUGGAAUUCUGGACAAGUCCUGAGAGUUUUUACUCUCGGGGACCGGUCCCUGGAAGGAGAGACCGGUCCCCCAGUGAGCAGUGUUGAGGCAGCCUGAGGCAACCGGUCCCUGGCAGGCGAGACCGGUCCCCGAGCGCGUCUUCGCAGUGAGAGACCGGUCCCGCGCAGGGAGAGACCGGUUCCCGAACGUUGGUUUUUCGGGUUCGCAGCGAGAGACCGGUCCCUGCUGGGGAGAGACCGGUCCCUCUGGGCGAAAACUGCCCAGUUCGGGCUGAUGUAAAUUUGAAUUUUUGAGGGGCCUCUCCGGAUUUUGUUACACUAGAUGGGCUUAUUAGCCAUUUCCUCCUCUUCCCUCUCUCAUUUUCUCAUUCUCACCCUCUCCCUACACUUUCUAGAGAGAGAAGAAGAAGAAGAAGGAGGAGAAGAAGGAGAGGAGCUAGCUUGAGGGAGCUUGGAGCUCAACCCCUUUCUCUCUUUUCCACCUUUGCAAGGCUUGGAGCUUGCUUGUAGAGCUUGGUGGUGGACCAAUCUUCAACCCUAGAAGAUUUGGAGCUUGUUUGGAGGCAUCUUGGGAGGUUAGUACUUGGAUUCUACCCUUUGAUCCUUGAUUUGGUAGGUUUUACCAUAUGAAACCCUAGUUUUGGGACUUAGGGUUUAUUUUGGGCUUUUUGAACCUAGGGCUUUUGAGGCUUGAUUGGUUGGUUUAGAACCUUCCUAGGGCUUGGAUUGGAAGGGUUCAAGCUCUCUUUUGGAGCUUUGGGAGAGAUUUCUACUCUUGAGGUUAGUUUUGGCCCUUUUUGCUUCUAGGUUAAUGUUUGAUAUUAUAAGAUGGUCGUAAUGCCCUCGUAUCUCUUCGCUGAUUACUUUUAGGGUAUUUUGAGACUCGGGGACAACUUUGUUCGGCGAAACGAGACCCUACGCGACGGUUCGGUGGGUUUGACCUAGCCUACAUAUGAGAAAUUCUCAUAUGUGGUUAUAUAUGUUCCGUAAAUUGAAAAAGCAUGCAUAUUCAUACUAAAUGUAUUUAUUAUGAUUUUUAGAAUGCUUAAAAUGCAUAUGUUAUAUAUAAUGAAAUUUUGGACCUCUAUGUAGUAGAGAGUUGCUUGAGAGAGAGUUGGUUGCAUUUAGCAUUCUAUACGAGAUUUGGUUUCAUGUUUCUAUAGUGUAAUGAGUUCGAAUUCAUGCAUUUAAACUUAAGUUUACUUGUGACAUGAAAGAUGAUGAAAUUGCCAUAUAGAGGUACUGAGCUAGAAUGUAUGUGAACUAGAGAGCUAAUGUCAUCAAGCGGCAUUGAGCUCGGGACAUGUGUGAACCUAGUGGAUAGGGCCAUUGAGGGACUUGGGAUACAUGUUGGACAUCAAAUUGCCUAAGUGUCAUCAAGGGGCACUAGGCGUAGCAAAAGCUGAAAAUUCACAUUAUGCCUUAAACUAGAUCUUCGGGAUGCUAGUGACUAUACCAUGUUAGAGACAUGAGGAUUGGAUACUUGAGACUUGGACUUUGCUUGCUUGCCAUUUGUGCUCAUUCGCACAUGCUUGUGAGGGUCGCUCCCUACAAGCCGGCACUCCGGAGUUAGCCUAUGCGACUUUUGUUCGCUCGUGCGGUAUCGAGAAGCCUACGGGGUCGAGUGGGACAGACACAUUCCAUGUGUAGGAAUGUCGGGCUACCACAGCCACUUAGGCGGCACAAGCUGGACUACCUUUGGUAGGUCUUUAAGUGGAAAUGAAAAUCGACACGGGGUUGUGAGUGGUUAAUCACUACUAGAUAGGUUAGUAGUUGAAUGACAUUUAUAUGCUUUUAGCAUAGGGUUGAGACAUGCAGUAUACUGGAUAGUCUCCUUUUGCAUUAAAGCAUACUUGGUUGCCAUGACAGAACUUAUGCAUAAUGUAUUCAUAAAGGUUAAUGAUUUACCAUUUGAUAUCAUAGAUGUACAUCACCAUAACAUCGUGUAUACCUGAGAUUAGUAAUUUAGCAUUUUAAUUAUGCUUUCAUAUCGCAGUCAUUAUUACUAUUAUUAUUGUACUUACCCUUUUCUUUUGGGGCCUAGUGGUGCAUAGAGCUGAGGUCAGUAAUUGCCCACUGGGAACUAUAAAUUAUAGUUCUCACGCCCUCUUUUUCUCGAUGUUUUUCAGAGCCUUCCGCUCAGGGUGAGUUCAGGGACCGUAGGAAGGAAGUUGCUUCGAGCUAGCUUCUUUCGAUGGAAACGAUUGCUAGGUGGUCUACCUCUCGUUGUAUUUUCAUUUUGGAGAGGUUGAGAGUUUUUUACCCGUGUACUAGUGACCACCAUUUUUGUAUUAGAGCUGAUUCUGUAUAAUUUUUUUUUAAAAAAAUGUUUACGUUUUAUGUUUUAGUCACGUUCAGUUACUAAUUGUGUAGAUGAUAGAACUUUACUCGCUCUGAUAUCAUUAGUUGCUAGUUAUUUCACUUCUUUUAUUUGUUCUAUCUCUUGCUUUACUUCCGCUUUUGUUGUAGACGCGUUAUAUGUGUAGACAUAUGGUGGGUCUGGGCAUGCUACCGGGAGGGCCUUCGCCGGUCCCGGGGCGUGACAGAUUAAUUUGGUAUCAGAGCCUAGGGUUGAGUCUUAGAGGACCUAGCAAACCUUAGGCCGGUUGGACUAUAGGAAUUAGGCUCGUGAGAGACGAGGUCUAUUUGACUUGUGAGCGAAAGUAUCCUGAUUGGGUGUCUUGACAACUCUAAAAAGUUAGAGUUCGAUCGGAGUGUAUGGCUUCUAACUUCGCGGAGGGUUACGUUGGCGGCCGACAACGUAACAUCGGGAGUUAGUAGUGAAGGACACUUUCUUACUUUCGCAUGAUUUUGGGUUUUAUCGUUUUGAGUGGGGAUGCGAUAGCGUGGGUUAUUAACUUGCGCUUUUAUGUUUUGUAGUGUCGAUGCCGGUUACACGCUCCCAGUCUGCCGGGGCAGAUGAUGCGGCACAUCCCGAGGAGGUUGAGACUUCCGCUACUUCCGGAUCUAGUGAGGUCCGUGACUUGAGGGCCCAGUUUGCGGUUCUCACUGAUCUGUUGGCGCAGCAGACGGCAGCGGCGCAGCGACAGGCUGAGGUGGCUCAGCGGCAGGAGGCGCGGAUGAAGCAUCUUGAGGACCUUCUACUUCAGCAGGCAGCAGCUUCGAGGGAGACCCAGGGCCCCACACCGCCAGCACCCGUGGUGGACGUCGCACCGAGGGCGCAGUCCCCCGCGCCCAGUUCUUCACGUGCGGCACCGGCGACCGCACCUCGGGAGGAGGUGGUUGCGGCAUUACCAGUUCAGAGACCGGCAACGGGAACAGCUUUCCCCGUGAUGGCCGAGGGAGCCGAGCGGGAUCGGCUCAUGGAUCGCCUCAGUGAGUUUAGGAGGUGCAGCCCGAGGACGUUUGAUGGCGAGAACGUCGACCAAUGGAUUGUUGAGAAGUGGUUGCUGCACAUGGAGAAGCUGUUUCGAGAUACCUUCGUUGAGGAGAGGGACAGGGUUUGACUCGCCACUCACUUUCUGGACGGCGAGGCCUAUCGUUGGUGGUUGGAUAUCCAGGACAACCCCAACACCGACUUGGCAGCGAUUACUUGGACGAGGUUCAAGGAGCUUCUUCUGGCGCACCACUUCCCGACCAGCGUCAAGAGGAAGAUGGAGCAGGAUUUGCGCAGCUUGCGCCAGGACGAGCGGUCAGUGGCUGAGUACGAGAGGGAGUUCUCCCGGAUACUAUAUUGUGUACCGUUUGUUGUGAGGGACAACGAGGACAAGGCCCGCAUCUUUGAGCACGGUUUGCGGCCUUCUAUCUUCCGGUUGGUGCAGUCUUCCAACUUCCAGACCUACCGGGAGGUUGUGGAUCGAGCUUUGAUAGUGGUGGCAGGAGCGGCAGACCUUCAGGAGCGACGCGAGGCCCUAGACAAGGGCAAGGGAAAGUGACCCGCGGCUGAGGGUGCGAGCCAGACGCACUCACGUAGGCCGCCGAGGCACCCCAGGAGUCGGAGCCAGUCGCGAGGACGUGGCCAGUCUGCUCAGCGAGGAGGACCCGAUCAUUGUGAGGCCCCCCGCUGCGUGAUCUGUGGCGGUCCUCAUUACCCGCGGCAGUGUUCACGCAGCCGGGGCAGGUGCUUCUUGUGUGGCCAAGAGGGCCACUUCCAGUCGGACUGUCCGAGGAGUCCAGCGCCAGCGCCAUCUUCGGCAUCUGCACCAGCAUCGCCGGGCCCCAGCCAGGGAACAUCUUUGGCGCAUUAUCAGGCUGGGCGGCCGCUAGUUCAGCGGCAGGUGGAGGGGUCACGACAGGCCCCGAGCGAGCGCAUGUACGCGGCCCAGACUGAGGCGGCGGCAGCCGAGAAUGUGGUCGCAGGUAUCAUUUUACUUUAUGGUAUUCGAGCUAGAGCUUUGUUUGAUACCGGUGCAUCGCAUUCAUUCAUAAACCGGCUGUUUGCCGAGUUGCAUGGCAUCCCACUUGCAUCCUUGUUGCAUCCGGGACGAGUUGUUGUACCCGAUCAUUUUUUGGACAUUCGGGAGUUUUGCCCCAGUUGCCCUGUUCGGGUUGGAGAUUAGAUCAUGCCCGUGGACUUGCUAGCUUUGCAUAAACUCGGGGAGUUUGAUGUAGUGUUGGGCAUGGACUGGUUGACUAAGUACUACGCCACUAUCGAUUGCAAGGAUCGAACGGUGACUUUUAGAGAGCCGGGGCAGGCGGAGGUUGUGUACCGAGGAUGCCAGAGUUCGCUGUUUGCGAUGACGAUUAGCUCCUCUCGAGCUAGGCAAUUGAUUAGUAGAGGCUGCGUAGCCUAUUUGCUACUGUCGUGUUGCGGGGCGAUGCGGACAGCCCUAGGAUUGAGGAUAUCCCCGUAGUACGGGAGUUUAGAGACGUGUUCCUAGCGGAGCUUCCAGGCAUGCCACCUGAUAAGGAGAUUGAGUUUGUGGUAGAUCUCGUUCCCGGGACUACUCCAAUCUCAAAGGCACCCUAUAGGAUGGCACCAACAGAAUUGAAGGAGCUGAAGGCACAGUUGCAGGAUCUUCUGGAUAAAGGUUUUGUGCGACCGAGUGUGUCUCCUUGGGGAGCACCGGUCUUGUUUGUUAAGACGAAGGAUGGAUCACUUCGCUUGUGCGUGGAUUAUCGUGAACUUAAUAAAGUCACGAUUAAGAAUAAAUACCCUUUACCGAGGAUUGAUGACUUAUUUGAUCAACUCCAGGGAUCUUGUGUAUAUUCCAAGAUUGUCUUGCAGUCGGGAUAUCACCAGUUGAGGAUCAGACCUGAGGAUGUAUCGAAGACGGCUUUUAGAACACGGUAUGGACAUUAUGAGUUUACCGUUAUGCCGUUUGGGCUUACUAAUGCCCCAGCAGCUUUUAUGGAUUUAAUAAACCGUGUUUUCAAGCCUUACUUAGACAGGUUCGUCGUGGUGUUCAUCGACGAUAUUUUGGUCUAUUCCCGAAGUGAUGCGGAUCACGAGGAACACUUGAGACUUGUACUUCAAGUGCUUCGGGAAAAGAAGCUCUACGCCAAGUUGAAAAGUGUGAAUUUUGGCUUAGAGAGGUGGCGUUUUUGAGCCAUGUGAUUUCAGGAUCAGGCAUAGCAGUGGACCCGAGGAAAAUUAAAGCUAUCAAGGAUUGGCCGAGGCCAACGAGUGUGACCGAGAUAUGGAGCUUCAUUGGUGUGGCCGGCUACUACCGACGGUUUGUUGAGGGAUUUGCAAAGUUAUCUACUCCCCUCACGAGGCUCACGCAUAAAGGAACUAAGUUCAUUUGGAAUGAUGCUUGUGAAAGGAGCUUUCAAGAGUUGAAGCAGCGAUUGACGACUGCCCCGAUCCUUACCUUGCCGACUGCUGGAGCAGGGUAUGUGAUUUAUAGUGAUGCUUCAUUUAAUGGAUUGGGCUGUAUUUUGAUGCAGGACGGGAAAGUGAUCGCGUAUGCAUCUCGCCAAUUGAAGGAUUAUGAAAGAAACUAUCCUACCCAUGACUUGGAGUUGGCGGCCGUGGUCUUUGCAUUGAAGCUAUGGUGCCACUACUUAUAUGGCGAGCGGUGCGAAGUAUAUACGGAUCACAAGAGCUUAAAGUAUCUUUUCACUCAGAAGGAGUUGAACUUGAGGCAGCGCAGAUGGUUGGAGCUACUCAAGGACUAUGACUUGACUAUUCUUUACCACCCGGGCAAGGCUAACGUGGUGGCAGAUGCGCUAAGUAGGAAAUCGACUGAGAACUUAGCAAUGCACUUAGUUACUCAACCGCGGUUAAUCGAGCAGAUAAAGCGGUUGGAGUUGGAGGUGGUGACUCCUGACACGCCUUUGAGGUUGAUGACGUUGGUGGUGCAACCUACAUUACUGGACCGAAUUAAAGAAAAGCAAGCUUCCGAUGUGGAGUUGCAAAAGAUUAAAGGUAAAAUGGUUGAUGGUUGCACCGGUGACUUCACUUUUGACAGCGAAGGAUUGAUGCGUUUCCGCGGACGACUUUGUGUACCGGCGGACUUGGGCGUUAAAGAGGACAUUCUUCAUGAAGCACACCGAGCACCGUAUGCUGUACAUCCGGGAGGCAUCAAGAUGUACAAGGACUUGAAGUUGCUUUACUGGUAGCCCGGGAUGAAAAAGGAUGUUGGUGAGUUUGUUGCUAGAUGUUUAACCUGCCAACAGGUGAAGGCUGAGCACCGAGUUCCUGCGGAGAAGUUGCAGAGCCUACCGAUUCCAGUGUGGAAGUGGGAAAAGAUCACCAUGAAUUUCGUGAUGGGAUUGCCUCGCUCACAGGCCGGGCAUGAUGCUAUUUGGGUAAUCGUGAAUAGAUUGACGAAAUCGGCACAUUUCAUACCUAUCCACACUACUUGGACUGGUGAGAGACUCGCACAGGUUUAUUUGGACGAGAUUGUGCGAUUGCAUGGGGUACCCACUUCUAUAGUGUCAGAUCGAGACCCCCGUUUUGUAUCCUAUUUUUGGAGGAGCUUACAGGACGCUCUGGGUACGCGCUUGGACUUCAGUACUGCUUUCCACCCCCAGAGUGACGGGCAGACGGAGCGUACGAUACAGACUCUCGAGGAUAUGCUGCGAGCCUGCGCGAUUGACUUCCAGGGAGGAUGGUCGCAGCAUCUACCGAUGGCAGAGUUUGUUUAUAACAACAGUUAUCAAGCAAGCAUCAAGAUGGCACCGUUCGAGGCACUUUAUGGACGGAAGUGUAGAUCGCCACUUUAUUGGAGUGAAGUCGGUGAGAGAUUGGCUUUAGGCCCUGAUGUGCUCUAGGAAGCGGAGGACAAGGUUCGGAUUACUCGGGAGUGAUUGUUGACAGCCCAGAGUAGGCAGGGGAGUUACGCUGAUCGGCGUCGACGAGACUUGGAGUUUUAGAUUGGAGAUCAUGUCUUCUUGAAAGUCUCGCCGACUCGAGGGAUUAGACGAUUUGGAAUCCGGGGCAAGUUGAGCCCCCGAUUCAUUGGACCGUUUGAGGUUUUGGAGCGGGUAGGCCUGGUAGCGUAUAGACUUGCUUUACUGCCGAACCUAUCGGGUGUACACAACGUAUUCCAUGUAUCGGUCCUUCGGAAGUACAUCCACGACCCGGCUCAUGUCUUGGACGCCACGCCUUUGGAGCUGAGGGAUGAUUUGAGCUUUGAAGAGCAACCCUUGAGGAUUUUGGCUCGCGAGGUAAAAAGAUUGCGGAACCGAGAAAUUCCUUACGUGAAGGUGCUUUGGAGCAACCACGACGAGCGCGAGGCCACUUGGGAACUGGAAAGCGCGCUGCGGGAGCGCUACCCCCAUCUUUUUCAGAUGGAAGCUUGAGGUACUUGUCAUCUCGAGUUUCGCGGACGAAACUCCCUUUUAGGAGGGGUGAAUGUAGCGCACUGGACCUUUGCAAAUUGCGAGGUUCGAGUAUUUGGAUGUAUUUCGAGCUUUUCCACACUUGGUAGAGGGUUGCAGAAUAUUUUUCGACCUAAAAAGUUCGAAAACUGAAAUUCUGGGCAAGUCCUGAGAGUUUUUACUCUCGGGGACCGGUCCCUGGAAGGAGAGACAGGUCCCCCAGUGAGCAGUGUUGCGGCAGCCCUGAGGCAACCGGUCCCUGGCGGGCGAGACCGGUACCCGAGCGCGCCUUCGCAGUGAGAGACCGGUCCCGCGCAGGGAGAGACCGGUUCCCGAACGUUGGUUCUCCGGGUUCGCAGCGAGAGACCGGUCCCUGCUGGGGAGAGACCGGUCCCUAUGGGCGAAAACUGCCCAGUUCGGGCUGAUGCAAUUUUGGAUUUUUGAGGGACCUAGCUGGAUUUUGUUACAAUAGAGGGUCUAUAUGACCCAUCCCCUCUCUCUUCUUCUCAUUUCCCUCCUCACACUCUCCCCACACCCUUGUUAGAGAGAGAAGGAGAAAGAGAAGAAGAAGGAGGAGAAGAAGGAGAAGGAGAGGGUUUUGGUGGACUUGGAGCAUUUCUUUGCCUCUUUUCCUCUUCCCACCUUGUUGAUGCUUGAAGGCUUGCACUUGGAGCUUGCCAAGAGGAGAUCUUCACCCUUUGAGCUUGGAUUGAAUCUUCUUAGAGUUUGGUAGCCCUUUCUCUCUAUCUAGACUUUGGAUUUGAGGCUUUCUUUGUGUUGGAACCCUAGAAUGAGGUUUAGGGUUGAUUUUGGGGCUUUUUGAUCUAGGGCUUUUGAGGCUAGAUUGAUUGGUUUAGAACCUUCCUUGGGCUUGGAUUAGAAGGGUGCUAGCUCUCUUUUGGAGCUUUGGAAGAGAUUUCUUCUCUUGAGGUGAGUUUUAGCCCUUUUGUCUUGUUGGUUAAUCAUUGAUUGUAUAAGAUGAUCGUAAUGCCCGUGUAUCUUGUCGCUCAAUACUUUUAAGGUAUUUUGAGACACGGGGACAACUUUGUUCAGCGAAACGAGGCCCUACGCGACGGUUCGGUGGGUUUGACCUAGCCUAUAUAUGAGAAAUUCUCACAUAUGGUUAUAUAUGUUCCGUAAAUGGGAAAAGCAUGCAUAUUCAUACUAAAUGUAUUUAUUAUGAUGUUUAGAAUGCUUAAAUGCCUAUGUUACAUAUGAUGAAAUUUUGGACCUCUAUGUAGUAGAGAGUUGCUUGGGAGAUCUAUGGUUGCAUUUAGCAUUCUUUAUAAGACUUGAUUCCAUGCUUCUAUAGUGUAAAUUAGUUCGGAUUCAUGCAUUUAAACUUAAGUUUACUUGUGGUAUGAAAGAUGACAAAAUUGCCAUUUAGAAGGUGUGUGAACUAGCGAGCUAAUGUCAUCAAGCGGCAUCGAGCUCGGGACAUGUGUGAACCUAGUGGAUAGGGCCAUUGAGGAAUGUGGAACAUGCUUAAACAUUAAAUGUCUAAGUGUCAUAAAGGGGCACUAGACGUAGCAAAUGUUGAAACUUCACAUUGUGACUUGAACUAGAUAUUCGGGAUGCUAGUGACUACACCAUGUUAGAGACAUGAGGAUUGGAUACUUGAGACUUGGACUAUGCUUGCUUGCCAUUUGUGCUCAUUCGCACAUGCUUGUGAGGGUCGCUCCCUACAAGCCGGCACUCCGGAGUUAGCCUACGCGACCUAUGUUCGCCGUGCGGUAUCGAGAAGCCUACGGGGUCGGGAAGGAUAGACUCAUUCCUAGAGUGGGAAUGUUGGGGCUACCACCGACACUUAGGCGGCACAAGCUGGAUUACAAUAUGUAGAUCCUAAAACAUGUUUGAUUAAUGACAUUGAACCGGGAAUGGAUAAUCACUACUAGAUAGGUUUAGUAGUUGAAUUACAUUUAUAUGCUUUUAGUAUAGUGUUGAGACAUGUAGUAUACUUGAUAGUUUUUUAUUGCAUUAAAGCAUACCUGGUUGUCAUGACAGAACUUAUGCAUCACGUAUUGAUAAAGGUUAAUGACAUUUAACUAUUGCCAUUGGACAUACUAUUAUGAUAUCGUAGAUGUACAUCACCAUGACAUCGUGCAUACUUGAGUUUAGUAAUUUAGCUUUUUAAUUAUGCUUUUAUAUCGCAGUCAUUAUUGCUAUUAUUAUUGUACUUACCUUUUUCUUUUGGGGCCUAGUGGUGUAUAGAGCUGAGGUCAGUAAUUGCCCACUGGUAAUUAUAAAUUAUAGUUCUCACGCCCUCUUUUUCUCGAUGUUUUUCAGAGCCUUCCACGCAGGGAGAGGCCAGGGAUCGCGGAAAGGGUAUCGCCUCGGGCUAGCGUGCUUACCGAGGGAUCGUUCGAUAGGUGGUCUACCUCUCGUGUUUUCUUUUUGUGAGAGGUUGAGAGUUGUACCCGUAUAUGUAUAGAGACCACCAUUUUUGUACUUGAGGCAGAUAUUGUACUACUUAUGGUUUCUUUUAUUGUCUAGCUUUAUUUCUAUACUUUGGUGUAGAUGAUAGAACUUUACUCGCUCUGAUAUCAUUAGUUGCUAGUUAUUUCACUUCUUUUAUUUGUUCUAUCUCUUGCUUUACUUCCGCUUUUGUUGCGAGGUCGAUGACCAUCCCAGUUCUAGCCCCGCCAUCAGUUAGCAACGAAGUUGAGAACCUUCGAAGAGAGCGUGCGUAGUAAGGUUUACUUGAACUGAGGAAAUACGCACUCAGAGCACUCCCCUCAUCUAUUGGAACGUUUAGGGAGUUGCUUAGAGGCCAUCAUUGGCCGGUUAGGUUCCUACGAGGCAUAGAGGCACUGCGAGCAGCUAGAGCUGGUUAGGAACUAACGAAGUUAGAAGAAUCCUAGGUGCACAGUGCGGGGCCCUGGCCGCCUCCGGGAGGGCCAUCGCACGGGUCUGUGCGGUAUACAGAUGUGUAUAUUCCGCAAAUGUCANACAUAUGGCGGGUCUUGGCACGCUACUGGGAGGGCCUUCGCCGGUCCCGGGGCGUGACAACUUCAUUCGAGAUUGCCCGGGAGGAGGAGCCUCACCAGCCCCCUCGAUUGCAUUGGCGCCGGCGUUCCCGGCUGAUUUUGGAGGAGCCCCACCGACAACCGCGUCGACUGGACGCGCGAUGAUGCCGCGUCAACCUGAAGUGACGCGAUCGGCCCCGAGCGGACGGGUGUUCGCCGCUCAGGUCCAAGCUGAGGAGCCUGCAGAGGCAGAGGAGCAUCACCUUGUGGCUGGUAUGGUUUUAAUUAAUGGAGUUCGCUCCAGGGCUUUAUUUGAUACAGGAGCCACGCAUUCAUUCAUAAGUAGAUCAUUCGCACGCAUGCAUGACAUUCUCAUAGAAGCGAGUGACAAGUGGCGAGUGUAGUGCCCUGGGUCGACGUUUAACACCUACUCAGAGUGUGCGUCAUGUCCAGUACAAAUAGGCGACUAGAUUAUGCCUAUCCGGACGCUAGAACUCACAAAGCUUGAGGCUUACGACGUCAUUCUGGGUAUGGACUGGCUCUCGAACUAUCACGCAACGAUCGACUGCAAGAGCAGGGUGAUCAUAUUCCGUGAGCCAGGACAAGAGGAGUUCACCUAUCGGGCUUGUCAGAGCUCGUGCUUCGUCGCGACAGUAUCGGCGACAAGAGCAAGGAAAUUGGUUAACAGCGGUUGCACGGCAUUUUUGGUGACUGUUGUGGAAGUGGAACGAGUAGCUCGAACGUUAGAGGAGCUAUCACUGGUGCGGGAGUUCCCGGAUGUAUUUCCCACGGAGUUGCCGGGGAUACCACUUGAUCGGGAGAUCGAGUUCGUCAUAGACUUGGUUCCUGGUACCGCACCGAUUUCGAAGGCUCCAUACAGAAUAGCGCCGGCGGAAUUGAAAGAGUUGAGGAGUCAACUGCAAGACCUCCUCGACAAGUAAUUUAUCCGGCCAAGUGUAUCACCGUGGGGAGCCCCGGUGUUGUUUGUGCAGAAAACUGCGUUUCGUACGCGGUAUGGACAUUACGAAUUCACGGUCAUGCCAUUUGGACUCACGAAUGCUCCAGCGGCAUUUAUGGAUUUGCUGAACCGUGUCUUCAAGAAGUAUUUGGAUCGAUUUGUCGUGGUCUUCAUAGAUGACAUAUUGGUCUAUUCUCGUAGUGACGAGGAACAUGCCGGGCAUUUGAGAAUAGUGCUUCAAGUCCGUCGGGAGGAGAAGCUAUAUUCUAAAUUGAAGAAGUGUGACUUCUGGCUUUGCGAGGUCGCCUUCCUAGGGCAUGUGAUUUUCACGGUUGGAGUUUCUGUAGACCCGAGGAAGGUUGAGGCAAUCAGGGAUUGGCCGCGCCCGACGAAUGUCACGGAGGUUCGAAGCUUCGUGGGCCUGGCGGGCUAUUAUAGGCAGUUUGUGGAAGGCUUUUCCAAGAUAGUGAUUCCACUUACCCGCCUGACCCAGAAAGGCACCAAGUUUGUUUGGAGCGAAGAAUGUGACCGGAGUUUCAAAGAGUUGAAGCAAAGAUUGACUUCGACUCCGGUGCUCGCUCUACCAGUGCAGGGCGAAGACUUCGUAGUCUACAGCGAUGCCUCCUAUCUUGGGUUGGGAUGUGUAUUGAUGCAAAACGGGAAGGUAAUCGCCUACGCAUCCCGUCAGCUGAAGAGCUAUGAGAAGAACUACCCCAUCCAUGAUUUGGAGCUGGCGCCGGUGAUUUUCGCCUUGAAGCUGUGGAGGCACUAUUUAUAUGGUGCCCAUUGUGAGAUCUAUACCGACCACAAGAGCUUGAAGUACCUGUUCACACAGAAGGAGCUCAAUAUGCGUCAGCGGCGGUGGUUGGAAUUAUUAAAGGAUUAUGAUGUCGAUAUCCUCUACCACCCCGGGAAGGCAAAUGUGGUCGCGGACGCACUAAGUAGGAAGUCGGCGAAGAACCUCGCUUUUGAUGUUACCCAGCAAACACCCCUUUGGCUGGAUAUGGAGCGAUUGAACCUUGAAGUGGUCGCUCCCGAGGUCCCGACUCAGUUGAUGGCACUCGUUGUCCAACCGACCUUGUUGGAGAGGAUUAAAGAUCUGCAACCUGCAGACCCGGAACUCCAAAAGGUGCGGCGAAACAUCGAGGAAGGGCGUGGCGGCGAUUUCAAGGUAGACGCCGAUCGUACGCUUCGGUUUCGGAACCGAUGGUAUGUGCCGAAAGGUGGAGAGCUUCGUGAAUUGAUUAUACAAGAAGCACACCGAUCUCCAUAUGCUGAUCACCCGGGCAGCACCAAGAUGUAUCAGGGACUAAAAAUGCAUUAUUGGUGGCCGGGAAUGAAGAGCGAUAUUGGACGCUUUGUGUAAUAUACCGAAAAUUCGGAGAAUAAAUAUCGAACUUUAGUCAAAUUGACCAAAGUGCGAGGAAGGUACACUUCGGAAAGUCCGAAGGUGUUAAAGUGAUUAAAAGUGAGUUACGGGAGGUUUUCGAGAGCUAAAGAAUCAAAUUCUGCAAAACUGCAGAUUUUGAGCUCUCGGGGACCGGUCCCUGGUGGGAGAGACCGGUCCCCGAACGCGUGCAGAAUGAGACAGCCGAAAAAUCGGCUAAGUCCUGGAAGGUUAACUCUCGGGAACCGGUCCCUGCCUGAGAGACCGGUCCCCGAGAGACCGGUCCCCCAAGGAGGGACCGGAUGCAUUGCGCGCGGCAGCUCUGGCUGCGCAGGGUGGACCUUCGGGGACCGGUCUGUAAUAUACCGAAAAUUCGAAAAAUAAAUAUCGAACUUUAGUCAAAUUGACCAAAGUGCGAGGAUGGUACACUUCGGAAAGUCCGAAGGUGUUAAAAUGAUUAAAAGUGAGUUACGGGAGGUUUUCGAGAGCUAAAGAAUCAAAUUCUGCAAAACUGCAGGUUUUCAGCUCUCGGGGACCGGUCCUUGGUGGGAGAGACCGGUCCCCGAACGCGUGCAGAAUGAGACAGCCGAAAAAUCGGCUAAGUCCUGGAAGGUUAGCUCUCGGGAACCGGUCCCUGCCUGAGAGACCGGUCCCCGAGAGACCGGUCCCCCAAGGAGGGACCGGAUGCAUUGCGCGCGGCAGCUCUGGCUGCGCAGGGUGGACCUUCGGGGACCGGUCUGUAAUAUACCGAAAAUUCGAAAAAUAAAUAUCGAACUUUAGUCAAAUUGACCAAAGUGCGAGGAUGGUACACUUCGGAAAGUCCGAAGGUGUUAAAAUGAUUAAAAGUGAGUUACGGGAGGUUUUCGAGAGCUAAAGAAUCAAAUUCUGCAAAACUGCAGGUUUUCAGCUCUCGGGGACCGGUCCUUGGUGGGAGAGACCGGUCCCCGAACGCGUGCAGAAUGAGACAGCCGAAAAAUCGGCUAAGUCCUGGAAGGUUAGCUCUCGGGAACCGGUCUCUGUCUGAGAGACCGGUCCCCCAGAGACCGGUCCCCCAAGGAGGGACCGGAUGCAUUGCGCGCGGCAGCUCUGGCUGCGCAGGGUGGACCUUCGGGGACCGGUCCCUGCUCGGGGAGACCGGUCUCUGCCUGCGAAAACUGCCCAGUCCAGGCAGUGCACAGUGAUAAAAGUUGAGGGGUUUAUUUGCAUUUUGGCAACCCAAUAGCUAUGUUAUGGGGCCUAAUGAGAUUUUCUCUCAUUUCCUCACCCUCUCACACUCUCUUCUCUCCCUCUCUCUCUCUAGAAGACAAAGGAGAAGAAGAAGAAAGGAAGAGAAGAAGGAGAAAAAGGAAAGGAAGGUGAAGAAGAAGAUCAAGUUGCUUCAUCUUCUUCCUCUCUAGUGCAAAUUAGGGCAAGCUUUGAGGUAAGCUUUGCCCCUUUUCAUGAUAACUCCCAAACUAGGGUUUGGGUAAACCUAGAAAUGAUUUUUAUGGAGCUUUUAAAGUAUUUGAAGCUUUCUUUUUGCUUCUUUAGAGAUCAAAACCGUGGUUGUGCUCAAGGUGAGCUUCAACCCACCUCUAAUGGUGAAAUCCAAACUAGGAUUUUGGAAAGCCUAAGAAUGGUUCUAAUGGACUAUUUAGAGUAUAGUGAAGCUACUUUUGCUUCUCUUUGAGAUCAAACCCUAGGUUUGAUACAUGUAUUGGAGCUAGGGCACCAAAUUGGGGCUUUUGCUUAUGAGGGUAUCUAAGUGAAAUUGAUCCUCUAGAAACCUAAUUGGGGGUAUUUCCGACGCGUUGGUGAGCUCGGAUUUGUGUUACGAAAAGCCGAUGUAAAGAUAUGGGCAAAAUGGCCUAAUUUGGCUUCGUUAUGCCGCAGGUAAAGAACGAAGAGUCUAAAAAUCCCAAGAAAAUCAUCGGAGCACCUUUGAAAGCCUACGAGGUGGGUGGUGCUUCUCAAACUCAUUGAACUUCUCUCUAUGCCUAAUGUGUCAUUCAUUUGAGCAUNNNNNNNNNNNNNNNNNNNNNNNNNNNNNNNNNNNNNNNNNNNNNNNNNNNNNNNNNNNNNNNNNNNNNNNNNNNNNNNNNNNNNNNNNNNNNNNNNNNNNNNNNNNNNNNNNNNNNNNNNNNNNNNNNNNNNNNNNNNNNNNNNNNNNNNNNNNNNNNNNNNNNNNNNNNNNNNNNNNNNNNNNNNNNNNNNNNNNNNNNNNNNNNNNNNNNNNNNNNNNNNNNNGUGGGAAAGUCGGUGAUGUUGAGGCCGAACCCACUGGGAACUUUGUUGUAGUUCUCACCCCACUAUUUCCACAGAGCCGGGACCGAGCGAGCCGGCGAGCGACCGAGGUAAAGGCAUCGCGCCUUAGUCAGAGGCCACCAAAGUCGGGUUCCAUUUUGUAGUAAAGUACCCUAUGAUCAUCUUUUGUACUUGAUGAUGAAUGAUGUAAAGAAAAGAACGUAAUGUGCAUUUUGAGGUAAAUGUGAUGUAAGAAAGAAAUGAUGAAACGAAAUGUAAGAAGCUCGAAGAAUUACAGGUUGACUGCAAUGUAUAUGAUCUAAAUUGAAUCAUAGUACUUAUAAAUGUUUAGUUUUCCUUUCUUUCACUAAUGGCUAUUGCUUACCCUCGUGUAAGCCGUUUGUGUAUGUUUCCGCUAGUGCUUUUCUCUAUUGAUGAAAAUGUACAUGUGAUGAGCCUUGGGCGGAUAGGGGAAACUCUGUCCGUUCGGCGUCUGUUUGACGUGCUCGGGUCGGGCCAAAUUGGACUGCAACACCAGCUGGCUAGAUGCUGUACAUUCAUGUAUCUGCGCUUUAUCCGAGUUAAAUGUAUGCCAAACCGCGUACCGAUAUCGACACACUCGCGAAUCAUUCUACAUAAUAGAACAAUGGUAGAAGACCGGUUGCAUCUAGGCAAAUUCUGGCAUGAAAUGCUAAGUCGAACAACAACACUUUCCAAACAAGUAUCACAUGUCACCAAUCGCAGUAACGGCCGAUUUUACUAAGCCAGGACGGCCUAUUAGAGGCCUGUUCGAACUCAUUAAUGGCCAUAACUCGAUUAGGUCUAUACGCCACGUNNNNNNNNNNNNNNNNNNNNNNNNNNNNNNNNNNNNNNNNNNNNNNNNNNNNNNNNNNNNNNNNNNNNNNNNNNNNNNNNNNNNNNNNNNNNNNNNNNNNNNNNNNNNNNNNNNNNNNNNNNNNNNNNNNNNNNNNNNNNNNNNNNNNNNNNNNNNNNNNNNNNNNNNNNNNNNNNNNNNNNNNNNNNNNNNNNNNNNNNNNNNNNNNNNNNNNNNNNNNNNNNNNNNNNNNNNNNNNNNNNNNNNNNNNNNNNNNNNNNNNNNNNNNNNNNNNNNNNNNNNNNNNNNNNNNNNNNNNNNNNNNNNNNNNNNNNNNNNNNNNNNNNNNNNNNNNNNNNNNNNNNNNNNNNNNNNNNNNNNNNNNNNNNNNNNNNNNNNNNNNNNNNNNNNNNNNNNNNNNNNNNNNNNNNNNNNNNNNNNNNNNNNNNNNNNNNNNNNNNNNNNNNNNNNNNNNNNNNNNNNNNNNNNNNNNNNNNNNNNNNNNNNNNNNNNNNNNNNNNNNNNNNNNNNNNNNNNNNNNNNNNNNNNNNNNNNNNNNNNNNNNNNNNNNNNNNNNNNNNNNNNNNNNNNNNNNNNNNNNNNNNNNNNNNNNNNNNNNNNNNNNNNNNNNNNNNNNNNNNNNNNNNNNNNNNNNNNNNNNNNNNNNNNNNNNNNNNNNNNNNNNNNNNNNNNNNNNNNNNNNNNNNNNNNNNNNNNNNNNNNNNNNNNNNNNNNNNNNNNNNNNNNNNNNNNNNNNNNNNNNNNNNNNNNNNNNNNNNNNNNNNNNNNNNNNNNNNNNNNNNNNNNNNNNNNNNNNNNNNNNNNNNNNNNNNNNNNNNNNNNNNNNNNNNNNNNNNNNNNNNNNNNNNNNNNNNNNNNNNNNNNNNNNNNNNNNNNNNNNNNNNNNNNNNNNNNNNNNNNNNNNNNNNNNNNNNNNNNNNNNNNNNNNNNNNNNNNNNNNNNNNNNNNNNNNNNNNNNNNNNNNNNNNNNNNNNNNNNNNNNNNNNNNNNNNNNNNNNNNNNNNNNNNNNNNNNNNNNNNNNNNNNNNNNNNNNNNNNNNNNNNNNNNNNNNNNNNNNNNNNNNNNNNNNNNNNNNNNNNNNNNNNNNNNNNNNNNNNNNNNNNNNNNNNNNNNNNNNNNNNNNNNNNNNNNNNNNNNNNNNNNNNNNNNNNNNNNNNNNNNNNNNNNNNNNNNNNNNNNNNNNNNNNNNNNNNNNNNNNNNNNNNNNNNNNNNNNNNNNNNNNNNNNNNNNNNNNNNNNNNNNNNNNNNNNNNNNNNNNNNNNNNNNNNNNNNNNNNNNNNNNNNNNNNNNNNNNNNNNNNNNNNNNNNNNNNNNNNNNNNNNNNNNNNNNNNNNNNNNNNNNNNNNNNNNNNNNNNNNNNNNNNNNNNNNNNNNNNNNNNNNNNNNNNNNNNNNNNNNNNNNNNNNNNNNNNNNNNNNNNNNNNNNNNNNNNNNNNNNNNNNNNNNNNNNNNNNNNNNNNNNNNNNNNNNNNNNNNNNNNNNNNNNNNNNNNNNNNNNNNNNNNNNNNNNNNNNNNNNNNNNNNNNNNNNNNNNNNNNNNNNNNNNNNNNNNNNNNNNNNNNNNNNNNNNNNNNNNNNNNNNNNNNNNNNNNNNNNNNNNNNNNNNNNNNNNNNNNNNNNNNNNNNNNNNNNNNNNNNNNNNNNNNNNNNNNNNNNNNNNNNNNNNNNNNNNNNNNNNNNNNNNNNNNNNNNNNNNNNNNNNNNNNNNNNNNNNNNNNNNNNNNNNNNNNNNNNNNNNNNNNNNNNNNNNNNNNNNNNNNNNNNNNNNNNNNNNNNNNNNNNNNNNNNNNNNNNNNNNNNNNNNNNNNNNNNNNNNNNNNNNNNNNNNNNNNNNNNNNNNNNNNNNNNNNNNNNNNNNNNNNNNNNNNNNNNNNNNNNNNNNNNNNNNNNNNNNNNNNNNNNNNNNNNNNNNNNNNNNNNNNNNNNNNNNNNNNNNNNNNNNNNNNNNNNNNNNNNNNNNNNNNNNNNNAUACUCAGACAAGAGAAGCUCUAUGCAAAAUUAAAGAAAUGUGACUUUUGGCUAAAGGAGGUCACAUUCUUGGGUCAUGUGGUAUCGGGCGACGGAGUUUCGGUAGACCCGAAGAAGGUAGAGGCGAUCAAGGAUUGGCCUCGCCCAACGAAUGUAGCGGAGAUCCGCAGUUUUCUUGGACUAGCGGGCUAUUAUCGGCGGUUCGUGGAGGGGUUCGCCAAAAUAACCACUCCACUAACGCGCCUCACGCAUAAAGGAGUAAAGUACGUUUGGAGCGACGAUUGCGAUCGAAGCUUCGAGGAGUUGAAGAACAGAUUGACGUCGACCCCGGUUCUUGCUUUGCCGACUCCGGGGGAGACUUUUGUAGUGUACAGUGAUGCCUCGUAUGUUGGUCUCGGGUGUGUAUUAAUGCAAAACGGGCGGGUCAUUGCUUAUGCAUCGCGCCAAUUAAAGAGUUAUGAGAAGAACUACCCGAUUCACGACCUCGAGUUAGCCGCGGUGAUCUUCGCGCUAAAGCUUUGGAGGCAUUACUUGUAUGGUGAACAUUGUGAGGUAUACACCGAUCACAAGAGUCUAAAGUACUUGUUCACCCAGAAAAAGUUGAACAUGCGACAGCGGCGGUGGUUAGAGUUGCUAAAGGACUAUGAUGUCACCAUAUUAUACCACCCCGGAAAGGCUAAUGUCGUGGCCGAUGCUCUAAGCAGAAAAUCGGCGGAGAACUUAGCGACGGCAAUUACGCCUCAACCGCUAUUGCAAAAAGAAAUGCAACGAUUCGGGUUGGAAGUGGUAGCGCCGGGAGUGCCGGCCACACUUGCCGCACUAGUGGUGCAACCGACCCUAUUCGAGAGAAUUAAAGAGUUACAAACUUCGGAUCCUUAUCUCCAAAAGGUUCGAGGUGAUGUCGAGAGCGGUAAAGCCGAAGAUUUUGGCGUUGAAGCCGAUGGCGCACUUCGAUUUCGAAAUCGAUGGUGUGUACCAAAGGAUGAUGAAUUACGAAGGGCGAUCAUGCAAGAAGCGCAUCAAUCUCCCUAUAGUAUACACCCCGGCGGCACAAAAAUGUACAAGGACUUGAAAGAGCACUAUUGGUGGCCGGGUAUGAAAAGAGACAUUGGGGAGUUUGUGGCGCAAUGUUUAACGUGCCAACAAGUAAAAGCCGAGCGCUGAUUUCCAGCGGGAAAGCUACAAAGUCUACCAAUACCCGUUUGGAAAUGGGAAGACGUAGCGAUGGACUUUGUUACCGGUUUGCCUCGAUCACAAGGCGGACAUGAUGCAAUAUGGGUGAUAGUGGAUCGAUUGACAAAGUCGGCACGCUUCUUGCCGAUACAUACUACGUGGUCGGGAGACAAGCUAGCGCAAGUUUAUCUCGACGAGGUGGUGAGACUUCAUGGGGUCCCAGUGUCGAUCGUGUCGGAUCGCCACCCCCGGUUCACAUCCCACUUUUGGAAGAGUUUGCAAGACGCGCUAGACACGCGGCUCGACUUCAGUACGGCGUUUCACCCUCAAAGCGAUGGACAGUCGGAGCGGACGAUACAAAUCCUUGAGGAUUUGCUUCGAGCGUGUGUGCUGGAUUACAAAGGAGGAUGGCAUGAUUUCUUGCCUAUGGCGGAGUUCGCCUACAAUAAUAGCUAUCAAGAAAGCAUAGCGAUGGCGCCAUAUGAGGCACUAUAUGGACGUAAGUGUUGUUCUCCUAUCCAUUGGAGUGACGUGGGCGAGAGAGCGGCUCUUGGCCCGGAUGUAGUGCGGGAGGCGGAAGAGAAAGUUCGCCUUGCCCGUCAACGGUUGGCGAUGGCACAAUCUCGGCAAAAGAGUUAUGCCGACAAGCGAAGAAAGGAUUUAGAGUUUGCAGUUGGAGACCGUGUAUUUUUGAGAGUAUCGCCGAUGCGAGGAGUCAAACGAUUUGGGGUCCGUGGGAAGUUAAGUCCCCGUUAUGUCGGACCAUUUGAGAUAUUGGAGCGUGUGGGUGUGGUAGCAUACAAACUCGCACUACCACCGAGACUCGCGGGAGUUCAUAAUGUCUUCCAUGUGUCCAAUCUCCGAAAGUAUAUUCGCAAUGCGACACAUGUAUUAGAGUACGAGCCCGUGGAGCUACGUGAGGAUAUGUCCUACGAGGAGUACCCGGUGUGCAUCCUCGAUAGAGAAGUGAAGAAGUUGCGAAGUCGCAAGAUUCCAUAUGUAAAAGUCUAAUGGAGCAACCAUGAUGUGCGAGAAGCCACUUGGGAGCUCGAGGAAACUAUGCGGCGAGAGUACCCGCAUCUAUUCGAAUCGACGAGCUAAGGUAUGCGUAAUUUCGCGGACGAAAUUAUUUUAAGGGGUGGAGAAUGUAAUAUACCGAAAAUUCAGAAAAUAAAUAUCGAACUUUAGUCAAAUUGACCAAAGUGUGAGGAUGGUACACUUCGGAAAGUCCGAAGGUGUUAAAAUGAUUAAAAGUGAGUUACGGGAGGUUUUCGAGAGCUAAAGAAUCAAAUUCUGCAAAACUGCAGAUUUUGAGCUCUCGGAGACCGGUCCCUGGUGGGAGAGACCGGUCCCCGAACGCGUGCAGAAUGAGACAGCCGAAAAAUCGGCUAAGUCCUGGAAGGUUAGCUCUCGGGAACCGGUCCCUGCCUGAGAGACCGGUCCCCGAGAGACCGGUCCCCUAAGGAGGGACCGGAUGCAUUGCGCGUGGCAGCUCUGGCUGCGCAGGGUGGACCUACGGGGACCGGUCCCUUCGGGGACCGGUCCCUGCUCGGGGAGACCGGUCCCUGCCUGCGAAAACUGCCCAGUCCAGGCUGUGUGAAAUAGUGAAAGUUGAGGGGUUUAUUAGCAUUUUUGCAGCCCAAUGGUUAUGUUAUGAGGGUAAAUGAGAUUUUCUCUCAUUUCCUCACCCUCUCACACUCUCUUCUCUCCCUCUCUCUCUCUAGAAGACAAAGGAGAAGAAGAAGAAAGGAAGAAAGGAAGAAAAAGAAGAAAAAGAAGCUGAAGAAGAAGAUCAAGGAGCAAAGGAGCUUCAUCUUCUUCCUCUCUAGUGCAAGUUAGGGCAAGCCUUGAGGUAAGCUUUGCCCCUUUUCAUGAUAACUCCCAAACUAGGGUUUGGGUAAACCAAGAAAUGGGUUUUAUAGAGCUUUUAGAGUAUUUGAAGCUUUCUUAUUGCUUCUUUAGAGAUCAAAACCAUGGUUGAGCUCAAGGUGAGCUUCAACCCACCUCUAAUGGUGAAAUCCAAACUAGGGUUUGGAGUGAGCUAGGGAUGGUUCUAAUGAACUAUUUAGAGUAUAAUGAAGCUACUUUUGCUUCUCUUAGAGAUCAAACCCUAGGUUUGAUAUGUGUAUUGGAGCUAGGGCACCAAAUUGGGGCUUUUGCUCAUGGGGACUUCUAAGUGCAAUUGACCCUCUAAAAUCCUAAUUGGGGGUAUUUCCGACGCGUUGGUGCGCUCGGAUUUACGUUACGAAAAGCCGAUGUAAAGUUAUAGGCAAAAUGGCCUAAUAAGGGUUCGUUUUGCCGCAGGUAAAGAACGAAGCAUCUAAAAAUCCCAAGAAAAUCAUCGGAGCACCUUUGAAAGCCUACGAGGUGGGUGGUGCUUCUCAAACUCAUUGAACUUCUCUCUAUGCCUAAUGUGUCAUUCAUUUGAGCAUGUGUAAUAUAUAUUGUUGCAUGCAUAUUAGGGUAAAGUAAAGAUGAGAAUGUGAUGAUAGCAUGAUUGUGAGUACAACUUGCUUGUAAUGAUGGUAGAGAACCAAAUAAAUGUCAAAACCCUAAGUGUAUGCAUUAGAGAAAUAGUGAGCACCCAAAGUGAGCAAAAGAACAGAGUGACACUAUGACAUAGAUCGAGUGGCAUUUGAAAAUGUAAAGUAAAGAGACACUAGAGUUAGUGUGAUGCAAAGAACCAAAGUGAUGAAAAGAAUGAUGAAAAUGACAAUGUGUAAAGUAAAGUAAAGUGGGGCAAUAAGAACAAGUAUUGUAACGAACAAGAAUGCUAGAGUUAGCAAGAGUAAAGAAAUGUAAAGAAUCGUAAUUCAUGAGUUUGCAACAUAAAGUGAUGUGAAGAAGAACACUAGCAGCUAUGUGUAAAGUCGAAGAUUGAACUUAAAUCCUUUGACGUUAAGGAUAGUCAUACUUUGCUAUGAGUUCCGUGCUCCGAGGUCGUCGGCUCCCCCUCGGGCGUAUGCGCUCCGGAGUGGUUGGCAUCCGGUCGGAGUAACCGAAGGACGGUCUCUAGCUGGUGGUUCUGCUGCGAUGAAUGGGACUUAAUGUGAAGCAGUCAAUUGUGCGCGAUUACCCCGGGUAGCCUUGAGAUUUAAAGAACAAAGAGUAAAGAACAAAGAUACAAGAACAAAGAGCAAGAUAAAGACACACAGUACAAAGUAAAGCAAAUAACGAAAAAGCAAUUCGCAUAAUCUGCAUUUAUUUACAUGUUAUGAGACUAACUUCUAUUGCUUAUUGUUCAGCAUAUUACAUCAUUGUAUAAUAGAUUGUACUCAUACAGCUUAUUCUUAUCUCUAUGCGCUGGAGUUAGUCCAGUGGGGCAAGUCGGUGAUGUUGAGGCCGAACCACUGGGAAACUUUUGUUGUAUGUUCUCACCGCCACUAUUUCAACGAAGAGGCCGGGACAGCGAGCGCCGAUGGCGACCAGGUAAACGUAUCCGACUUAGUCACAGGCCACCACAGUUGGGUUCAUUUGUAGUCAAAGUACCCUAUGUCCAUCCUUUUGUACUUGAUGAUGAAAUGAUGUAAAGAAAAAAAUAUAAUGUGUCAUUUUUGAGGUAAAUUGUCGAAAUUGAAGAAAGGAAAAAUGAUGAAACGAAAUGUAAGGAUUCGAAAAUUUACAAGUUGGAUGUAUGUAAGCAUACCAGAUCUUUGUAUCCAAAAUAAAAUAACAUAAAAAUAGUGUGAAAACUAUUUUUAUUGGGAUUGUAGAAGUAAAAUAUAUGGUAGAAGUGACUUUAUGCUGAAAUCGGAAUGAAAACAGAAGAUCUAGAAUUUUCUGUUGGAAACGGACACGAUAAAUUAGCAGAAAAUGCACAGUCUCAAGAAAAUUUAUGAAUGAUUGGAGAAAAUGUCAGAAAUAUUUUUAAUGAGGCUAGAUGUUAAGUUCAUAUUUUGUUUGACACCGUCAGAGCUUUGAGAAAUAAAAUCCGACAGUUAUCUGAUAAAGUUACAGUUCGGUCAGUUUUUCAGUGACCAAACGGAGCGGAGUAUACACCCAAGCCCCCGUCGCUUUGGCUUAAAAAGAAAGAAGGAAAUAAGAUCAAUGUGGAUAUUAUAGGAUCAAGAACACGUGAGAAAAUACAUCAGGCGAUCAGUAGCUUGUAUAAUGUUAAGUAGAAAAUCGGAACGAUGACUGUCAGAGUCUCGAGAGUCUCAACACGGACAUUCAGGAGCUCGGCGCCGUGUGUGUGUUGAUGUUCGCGAAGCACCCCACAGGGAGGUGUUUCCUGGGGGAAAUUGUGUGUAGCAACCCCACAAAAGUGAAAUAGUGUAAUUGUGGGUUGCUAAUAUAUAGCAGUGUUGACUCUCUUAUUAUGUCUUUCAGCGCCGCACACCACAACACACACGGCGCAUGGAGGGGAGAGGGAGAAAACCUACCUAUCUCUCUCUAGAAGAUCUUCUCAAUCUUCUCUAAAUCUCUCUCUAAAAAUUGGAGGGUUUGGUGGAGGAUAGAUGCUUGCCGGAACGCAUUGGAGGCGACGGAUCGAGCUUCUGUCGCCGUAGGGAGCGGACGUAUUUUCGUAACAACCCGCGGCGGUUCACAUUGACGGUAAGCUUUUGGGAUUUCGGCUUAUCCUUAGUUUUAAUGUAGUUGUCUAAUAGCCUUCUAAUAUGAGCAUUAUACAACAUGUUUGCCUCUAUUUAUUUGGAUAUAUUUAGAGAGUUUAAAUUGCUGUUAGGGCCGUCGCAUAGGCCGGUUUUAUAAAAAUGUAAUGGGGUAUUGUUAUAUUGACCCCAGUCCAGUAAACCAAAUUACUGCUAGCAGUAAAAUGUGGUGUGCCGUGUUUGGCGAAAGACGGUUCGGGCAAUGCCGACGACGCCGUUUACAAGUGAUUUAUAAGAAAUUGGACGUUUAGCUGGUUCGGGUUCCGCCGGGCGGGCGAAUGGCGAUAUGUAAAUUCUAUGAAAAUGGAUUUGAAAGCAUCGAGUAGGCCACAUAACCGAAGACCUUUAAUUUUCGGAUCGUGAAUUGAGGCAAAGUUCGGUGGUAUUGGCUCGAGCGUGAGAGAUCGGCGCAGAACGGGCUGCCGGUGGCUAGUUGCCCGGUCGAGGCCGAUUGCACCAGAGGUGUCGACCGAAGCAAUCGAAUUCCGAAAUGAGGUGGUGUUGAUGCUUACCGUAAGCGACUAGGCCCUUUAGUCUAAGAAAUGAGAUUUCAUAUUUGAUGCAUAUUAUAUAUAUUAAAGAAUGAGGAAAAGAAUGCAUGUUUAAAUUACUAUGAAGUGUCUAAAUGGUAAUGCAUAAUGAAUUAAUUGCUAAAAGGAGAUUACAUGGAUGCUAAGUAUGGACUAUUUGUUGGAUAAUGACUAUAUGCUAUGUGACAAAUCAUGUGAUGCUGUGGAUUAUGUGGCAUGAUGAGUACUAUUAUGAGUUUACAUUAUUGUGAUUAUGUUAAUAGAAAAACAUACUUGCAUGACAUAUUGCCAUGUUGUGGAACAUAGUGGUACGAAUCUAGUAUAUGUAUCCUAUGAUCGAGUGCAUUAACCUUGCAUCUUGAACUGAGCAAAACACUGUGUCGUUGAAUUGAUCAUAUUAUUCUGGCGUUCAUUCAUGUAGUGUUAGAAACCCUAUUAUUGUGUAAAUGUGCAGACGUUGGAGUUGAACAUUAGUAACAAGCGGUGACAAUGACAAUUAGCAGACACGAUGGCAUAAGAAAUGGUGAUGUGUUAAACAUAGAUUUUAACCAUAUGAUAGUUGGUCCAAGUUGAAUAGAGUGGCGAUGUUAAAAUAGAGUAGGAAACUAUUGUGACAUUGGCUUUGUGACUAGUGGCUAUAGUAUCCUCAAGUUGAGUUGAUUGGAUCGACACUCACGAUUAAGUCUUGGGCUGAGGGAGGUAGUUCCCCCUUCGGGCGGUGCGCUCCGGAGUUGGUCACCACUGGGCGUGGUAAAGUCCCACCAGUUGACGGUCCCUAGGGAGGUUCGAGUCCCCCGUUAUUAAGGGAUUUGGUUGUGAGUUAUUGGGGUUAACAUGGUUAACCGGUAAGAUUGGGUCAUAGCCAAAUGAGUGUACAACAAGUAUGCAUUAUGAGUUAUGGAUUUGGUAUCCUAGUCGAGAGGAUCUAGGGCUGAGGUGUAUGUGAGACGUCCAUCGCCUCGAGCCUGGUUCUAGUGCGGUACUCCGCAGACGAUUGACUCAAGACCGAGUCGGGUGGUUAGCCUUGUAAAGGUAAAUGAAACUUUAUGAUUAAAACGGUGAUUGACAAGAAUCUAAGAUAGAGGAAACCUUAGAUAUCGAAUGGAUGAGCUAUGGUUAGCAGAAUUGAAAGUAGUGUCAAAUGAACUGCUAGUUGGUUGCAUAGUUGCAUUAUUGCAUGAUUUGCAUAUAGCAUUGCAUUAUUGCGUUCGUGAGGCAAAGCAUGGUUUUAUUAGUUGCAUACUAAAGAUAUAUAUCUAUCUGUUUAUUGAACUAACUUGCAGUUGCCUCUCUUGGACCUAUUGGUCGAGCUUUUCCCUUGGGUGGCCGUACCCACUGGGAACCAUGGAGUUGGUUCUCACCCCACGUGGUUUUGGGGUUUUUACAGGUUCGCACGUGAGCGGCGCGGCGGCGCGAGGCGAGGGCGUAGCUCCAUAGUUAGCGCCCUACCACCGAGACCAGAGAUAGUGAUACCCUAAGUCGGCCUUACUUAGAGAUGUAAAGAAUGAAAUAAUCAAGUUGUAAUAAUUAUAUUAAAUCGGAUUGUAUUUGGAAGUUAAAUGUAAUAAGUAUUUGGGAUGUAAAAAUGUAUGAAUAUGAAUGAAUGUAAUAAUAUAGGAUGUGUUUAUGUUGUUUGAUACCUUCCAUUAUGCAAUCCUUGAUUGAAAUGUGUUCCUGGUUGGAACUUCGCACAUUGUAUUGAUUGCUAUGCCUUGAACGUACAGGGGAGACUCUGUCCGCAGUACAGGGGAAACCCUGUCCGUUCGGCGAUCUGUCGGCGGCGCCGCGACCCGGCCAAAUAGGUGGGCGAUCGCGGGGCGUGACAAUGUAUGUAUAUGAUCUAAAUUGAAUCAUACUACAAGCGAAUGUUUAGUUUUCCUUUCUUUCACUAAUGGCUAUUGCUUACCCUCGUGUAAGCCGUUUGUGUAUGUUUCCGCUAGUGCUUUUCUCUAUUGAUGAAAAUGUACAUGUGAUGAGCCUUGGGCGGACAGGGGAAACUCUGUUCGUUCGGCGUCUGUUUGACGUGCUCGGGUCGGGCCAAAUUGGCAUCGGUCCCGGGGCGUGACACUUUGUGGCAAAGUGCUUAACAUGCCAACAAGUGAAGGCCGAGCGUCGAUUUCCAGCGGGAAAGCUUCAAAGCCUACCAAUCCCCGUUUGGAAAUGGGAGGAUAUAUCAAUGGACUUCGUGGUCGGCUUGCCUCGCUCAACGGGCGGCCACGAUGCGAUUUAGGUGAUUGUGGACCGAUUGACAAAGUAGGCUCACUUCUUGCCGAUCCACACCACGUGGUCGGGAGACAAGUUAGCGCAGGUGUACCUUGACGAUAUAGUGAGACUGCAUGGGGUGCCGAAAUCGAUCGUGUCGGAUCGUGACCCCCAGUUCACUUCACACUUCUGGAAGAGCCUGCAGGAAGCCCUUGGCACACGGCUCAACUUUAGCACCGCAUUUCAUCCUCAGACCGAUGGGCAAACAGAGAGAACUAUUCAAACUCUGGAGGAUAUGUUGCGAGCGUGUGUCAUCGACUACAAGGAAAGUUGGUAAGACCACCUACCUAUGGACGAGUUCGCCUACAACAACAGUUAUCAUGCUAGUGUAGAGAUGGCACCGUUCGAGGCUUUCUAUGGGCGGACGUGUCGGUCUCCUAUACACUGGAGCGAUGUAGGUGAGCGUGCUGAGUUCGGCCCCGAUGUGUUGCGAGAGGCGGAAGAGAAAGUCCGCCUUGCUCGCAAGAGAUUGCUCACGGCGCAGUCGAGACAGCAAAACUAUGCAGAUAGGCGCCAUCGAGAUAUAGAAUUCACGGUAGGCGACCGCGUAUUCUUGAAAGUUUCACCGAUGCGGGGUGUGAAGCGGUUUGGAGUGCGGGAAAAACUAAGCCCCCGAUACAUUGGACCAUAUGAAAUAUUGGAGCGAGUCGGCACGGUAGCUUACCGACUUGCUCUACCGCCGAAGCUUGCGGAUGUACACAAUGUGUUCCAUGUCUCCAAUCUCCGCAAGUACAUUCACGACCCCGAGCAUGCGAUGCUAUAUGAACCGCCGGAACUUUAAGGAGACUUGAGCUAUGAAGAGUUCUGGUAGGGAUUAUCGCCCGAGAGGUGCGAAAGUUGAGGAAUCGAGAAAUUCCCUAUGUGAAGGUCAGGUGGAGCAAUCACGAGGAUCGCGAAGCUACCUAGGAACUCGAGGAUUUGAUGAGAAAACACCAUCCUCAUUUAUUUGAGGAGUAAGGUAUGGAUUUAAGUUGAAAAUAAAGAAUUGAGUUCGUUUCGAGGACGAAACUCCUUUUAAGGAGGGGAGGAUGUAAAGAAGUGAAUUCUCGAAAUCCGAGGAUUGUACUUUAUCCAGGAUCGACUGACUGUCGAGAGAAUGCCCUUUGUGGAAGCUAAGAAUGUCCAAAGCACAAAAUGUGCCUUGGAGUUGAGUCCGUGAGAGCAAAUAAGGCAAACUGCAUCGUUAGGCUAAUGUUGCUCUCGGGGACCGGUCUCUGCAGGUGAGAGACUGGUUCCCUUGGCUGGGUGUUGCGGGGUUGCAUGAUGCAACCGGUCCCUGGUAGGGAGGGACCUGUUCCCGAACGUUGCCCCAGCGAGAAAUGCCAAAAAUUGGCUAAGUCCUGAAAAUUUAGCUCUCGGGGACCGGUCUCUCAGGUGAGGACCGGUCUCCCGAGGACCAGUCUCCCAGGGAGAGACCGGUUCCCGAACACGUGCGCCCGAGGGAAGCUCUCGGGGACCGGUCCCAAGUCGGGGAGACCGGUCCCUCCGCGCGAAAACUGCCCUGUAAGGGCAGUGCACAGGAGUAAAAGUUGAGGGGCUUUUAUGCAAAAUGGCUUUUAUUUGAGUGGGCUGAGCCCUCUCUCUCCCUCACACUCAUCUCAUUUCACUCUCUCCCACUCUCUUUCUCUCUUGCUCUCUCUCUCUAGAAAAGAAAGGAGAAGAAGAAGAACAAGAAGGAGAGGAAGGAAAAGAAGAGGAAGAUAAGGAAGGAGAAGAAGAAGAAGAUCAAGAGGAAGGCUUUGAGCACCUCCAUCUCCCUCUCCUCUUCUCUUUGAUGUAGCACAAGAGGUAGGCUCUUGAACCCUAGCUUGUAAAACAUAGGGUUUUGGGUUUUUAUGCCUUGGAAUGGGUCAAAUGAACCCUAAAUAAGCUUCUAAAUAGAUCAAUCCCAAGAAAUCUAGGGAUUUAUUGGUGGUUUGCUAUAGGUGCAAACCUAGGGAUCCAAAAUGGGGUUUUUAUGAAAGUGUGAGAUUGAUCUCAUUUGAAGCCUUGGAAACCCUAUUGUUAGGUCACGAAUCGUGGGGGCGAAGUCGGUUUUAGCGUUCGGCGAGCCGGCGUGAAGUUCUCGGCAAAAUAGGACCGGGAUAGUGUGGAAUUGGGUAAGGAAGGCUAAAGCCUUUUCGUAAAGCUCGCUGAGGAGCAUUUUCCAAGCCUCUACAUCGAUUAAAGGUGGGGGGUGCCAUCCCGAAGCUUUCGAACUCCUUUCUAUGUCUUAGAUUGCAGUUAAUCUCAUCUCUUCAUGUUGCAUUGUAGGAUUGCAUAGUAGCACCAUUCCUUAUGCUUUCUAAAUGAUAACCUAGUGUACUUGGAAUGCUUGGUAACUUAGAUAGGUGAGGAUUGGGUCGGAACGCGGAUCCUAUGAUGCGAAAGAUAGGGAUGAACCCGAUGGGGGUGUUGAUGACAUAGAAAGUAGUGUAAAAUGUUAAAGAACAAACGAGUGGCAUCCAAAUGUUAUCCCUAGUAUUCUUAUGUACAAACUCUUUGGGAUCUCCGAGCCUAAAGUAAGAUUUGGAUAAAAGAUGUUUAAUCGGAGAAAUCUAGUUUAGCUCUAUAGCAAAGCGUAAGAGUUAUACAGCUAAACUAGAGGCGAAACGAACCUCAAGAUAAGGGACCAAAAGAUGUUGUGAGGUUUCGCUUCCUAGUGGUAUAAGUACUAUGAGAAGUACCACCGCAGCACCUAAGCCGCAUAAACUGCCGCCAAGCACCUAAGCCUAGCACCCGAGCACCUAAGCUCACCGCAGCACCUAAGCCGCACUAACUUCGAAGCACCUAAGCUUCACCUCCGCAAGCACCUGAGCCUGCACUCCCGCACCUGUUGGGCCUCCCAUCGCGCUUCUAAGUAUCCUCCAAUUCUCUCCAAUUCAGGCACCUCAGCCAUUAGUGGAACAUUAGAAAAGAGAAUCACUUAAUAAAAAAGCGCACAACCAGGGCACCCAAAAAGAGGUUCAACCUCAAAAGGGUGCAUUUAGAGCCACACAAAAAAAAUAAAAGGCGUAAAUAAAAAUAACGUAGCUCUAAACACCAAAAACCGGCAAGUGGAUAAGUGGGGGGAGAUCCACUAUCUAUGUUAGAUCUAUCUAGGAACCCGAGGAGUUUUGAAAGUGAUGCCUGGAGGUACACCAGGCCUGGAGGUUCACCAGGAUCAGCGUGCUGUGAGGCCUCAUAAGCUGCUGUUAGGGGAGGUACACCCCUAACCUACCGAUAUGGUAGGGUUUGCGUCUGACACUCGAUCUAGAUAGGAGAGGUUCACUCCUAUGGGAUGUAGAUCCCAGUUAUGGGUUAGGUUAGGAGAGGUUCACUCCUACGUGAUAUGGACCCCAGGUGUUGGGUUAGUUUAGGAGAGGUUCACUCCUACGAGAUAUUGAUCUCAGUUGUAAAGAGCGCCCUAGUAACCAAGGGCUGUAAGUACGUUACGAUAAAUCGAAAAGAUUUAAGUAACAAGUGUUCCGUAAAAGAUUCCCUAGGUGGAUAGGGAUCCAGGUAGCUGGAGAUCACAGUAAUGUGAUGUAAUUACGGUGAGCAGUAGUAAGCCCUAAGGCUCGCCCAUGGCUCACCUUUCAAUCCCAAGUGGGAGGGAGCUCAAGUGCACCAAGCCCGGACUGUCUACGUUUAAGGAUUCGUUGUAUUGGCAAGUUUCGUGAAGUGAGUCGGAGUCUUGAAGAGAUCGAAGCGAUUGACAAGAUCAAAGAAUUCAAGAUUUCGCGAAAAAUCAGAAAAUACCUCACGAUGUGAUCACGAUGGUCAGGUAAGUUUAAUUCAUGUUUGGUGAUUCACACUUAAUUAUAGGCAUUAGAUCAUUUAAUCAAAGUUUGGUUAAUUAGAAAGUGCCUUUGGAACAGUGCGGAACCUGAAACGAUGCAAACACGAAAAUUGCAUUGUGUACCGGUACAGCAAUUGACCACGUACCGGUACACGCCAUCACAUUGCUAUCGUUUUUUCGUUCCGUCAUUAUGUACCGGUGACAGCCUUUCGGUGUACCGGUACACAGUGGUAAACCGUGGAAACUUUCUAAUCGAAUCCCGAUUGAUUCUAAAGUCUAUAAAUAAGCUAUUGGUGCCUUCCUCUUAACAGAUGAAGUAUCAUAAGAUAACAUGUUUGAGAAACCCUAGAGGACUCGGAUUUUAAUUUAAACUCUAUUUCUACAAUUAGCCUCUUUAGAUCAAAAUCGAGAUAUCGUUUCGCCUUCUCUAUAUGUACGAUUUGAUCUCCCUUCGCCUAUGGAGUCUUCUUCCUUGGUUUUCUCGAUACUCCUAAGCGAAGGCAUCACCAUAGUCAUGAUUGCUCUUCAUGAACGGCGUCAGUGAUUCGGCGUGAACAAAGGCAGGUUCGUGGAUUCGGAUCGUGUGGGUCCGUGGUGGGCGUCGUGGAAUUCGGCGAUGAAGCUUCGUGGGAUUCGAUAGUGGAGGCGGUUCGUGGACUUCGAGUGAGUGGAGGUGGACAACCGAAGUCCCGGAGGUAGCGCGAAGAUUCAUAGGAGGUUAAGGAGGUUAACGCUCCGGUGGAGUCGCGGUAAUCACCUGGUAAUCUAUUUCUCUUAGAUGAAUAUCUUUUUUUCGCAGUGUUGUCCCGUGUGGUUUUUCUCCAAGUUGAGUUUCCCACGAAAUCUCGGCGUGUGUUUUCUUUAUCUAUUCCGCAUUUAUUUUUUAUCUGCUCGAGAUUUAUUGAUUUCUUCUGCCGUUCAUCUAUCUCACCCCCUCUAGGUGAUCCAACAUCAAUCUAGUAGACCUUAGGCCUCCUCAAAACUUUCUACGGACCUCCAUGUGGUCCGGCCUCCAAGCGGGUCUGUCGCACGGCACACUCCGGAGUAUUCGACGACAAUCCCUCCAUGUGGGGAUUGGAUGCACUAUACCAUCCACGAGACUGUGAGUAUCUAUCCUCUCACAAGUGAGGAUACCUCUACAUCCUAGCGGGUCAUAACCCAAUCCAAUCUCUCCAAGUGAGGAUGCCUAUACCUGGGGUGUCCACAGACCCCAAUCAAUCCUCUCCAAGUGAGGAUGCUCCUAUACUAGAGUCAACAUUUCUCGCGCAUUGUUCCGACAUNNNNNNNNNNNNNNNNNNNNNNNNNCUCGCCACAGAUUGGGUAAAUGGAAAGGUUAAAAGUUUAUUAAUGUCAUUGAACAUUGCUAUUCGAACACGGAUCGAAUUUGUUAGCAUGGUAGCAAACCUUUAUUAUAUGAUGCAUGCAUUCAUAUUCAUGAUUAUGGGCAUAGUAGCAUAGUUUUUCUACUAUUGCAUUUACAGCUUUCCGAUACAUAUCUAUCUAUCUAUCUAUCUGUUGUUACUUGUGCCCACUUGGACCUAGUGGGGAGAUCGGCAGAGUCGGCGGCCGAGCCCACUGGGAACUACGGAAGAUAGUUCUCACCCCACUCUAUUUCCAGUGGUAGGUUCAGGGCUGCAGAGAGAGGACCGCGGCAAGGGCAUCGCGCCCGACCAGUGAGACCGUGGUAGUAUAGUAGCUUUCCUUUUUGCAUUAGUCACCUAUGUAUAGAGAGAGAGAUUCAAUGUAGGUGAGGAUUUGGAGAGCUUUGUAUUUUGGAUGACAAAUGUAUUCAUUUAAAGAAAAUGAUGUAAUGAGAAGGUUGGAACUAAUGUAAUAGUUAGUAAAGUACUCUCUUUAUUUCACUUGUUUUAUCUUGUGGAUCGCUUGCUCUUUGUAUUGUUGGCACUGUUUGUGCCCUUGUGAAUGUGUAUGCUUAGAAUUAAAUUUUCUAGGUAAAUUCUUGUACACAUUCCUGUUGUUAUGCCUUGGGCGGACAGGGGAGGUGCUGUCCGUUCGGCGGCCCGCCGCCGCGGCCGAACCGUGCCAAAUUGGUAGUGGUUUCGGGGCGGGGCGUAACAUUAGGCAAGUUGGCCUAGUCGAUUUGGUAGUAACAUGAAUAGCAUAAGUGGAUUGCAUUCAUACCAUGAUUAGACACAGUAGACAGCAUAACCAUGUUGUAGUUGUAUUCAUUACACUGUUGAGACAUAGUAGCAUGAUAGUAGGUUAUUGCUAGAUGAUGUUCCAUGCAUUCUUUGCAUUUCAUGGCACAGUAGAUAUAGUAGCAGUUUAUUUCUAUCUACCUUUCUAUCUAUCUAUCUGUACCAGCUUGGACCUAGUGGGAAAAUCGGCGGAGUCGGCGGCCGAACCCACUGGGAACUAUAUUUAUAUAGUUCUCACCCCGUGUGGUUUUGGUGUACAGGUAUACACGAGAGCUGACCGGCAGAUGAUCGCGGCAAGGGCUUAGCGCCCUAGUGCUAGUUUGUAGAUGCUUUCCUAUUGCAUUAGUUGUCACCCUAUAUACUUGAGAGUAGAUGAUGUAUAGGUGUGAGGCUGUUUUGGAAAAUGUAAACUUUAAGUUUAUGUUGUAUUUUGGCAUAAUGUAAAGUUAAUCAAAUGUAUAAAGUUGAAUGGAUGUAAUAGCAUAGUCUCUCUCUCUUUUAUUCACUUGUAUGUUCUUUACUCGUUACGCUUGCUCUUGUAAUGUUUAGCACUGUUUGUGCUCUCGCUAUUGUUGUAUAAUCGUGUAUAUAUUCAAGUUGAUUUCCUGGGUACUUGUUGUACAUGAUCUCGUCGCUUUAGCCUUGGGCGGACAGGAGGGGUGCUGUCCGUCCAGCGUCUGUUCGACGCGCCCGAGCCGGACCAAAUUGGUAGUGGGCCCGGGGAGUGACAGCUACAGCCAUCACACUCUCUCGGCUAACUCACAUCCGCACUCUACGAGUAUCUACACUCUAACGCUCUAUACGCUAAUAUCCAGGAUUAGGCGACUUUGCCCAAACUUGGCACUAAGCAACCAUUCUCUCAACAGUGAUUUCGCUUUCACUGUUCGAUCUACCGGGACUACAUCCGAAAUUCCCAAGCUACUCGGGUAUCUACACAUAUC
rnacentral:lncRNA from 1 species